UUAUGAUGGAUGUUUACAUCUCUUCAUGAGAGCCAAUUAUUUUGCUUUUGUGUGAGGCCCAAGAAUCACUCAUGCUGCCUGCAUGCACAAAGCCUGUUGGAUGUAGCUGAACGAAUUGCUUUCUCUCUACUCCUGUGGUAAGAGAGUCUUUUGUUUUACUUCUUCUUUCUUCAGAAAAAAGAGAUGAUGGAUCAAACCUGUACGGGGAAGGGAACCGUAUUUAGAAUCCAGGGGGUUGUGCUGUUUUAAUAUGUAAGCUGCAGCCUUUGUUAUGUAAAGAAGGGUGUUAUUUAAAGGGGGAGAAAAGCACGUGUGUGGUGUGUGUAUGUGUGUGUGUGUGUGUGUGUGUCUUAUCUGGCUGACUGGCUGGAAUUCUACUUUACAAUAUAAAAUUGCAAUGCCAGCCAGUGGGUGUUUUAAGAUUUAGCACUGGAUUUACGAAGCUGUAACCCUGAUCAAUAAUUUACUGUACUUCUCCCCUUUUUAUGUAUAGACGUUUAGCAUUAAGGGGAAGGGGGAAGAGGUAUAUUAAAAAGGUUUUGCUGCUAUCCACUUGUGCAGGAAGACAGAGAAUUUGAGAUCAGAUCAAACUUUUAAAAUGCUCCGGAAUAGUUUUGUGUUGGUGUAUACUUCUGCAUUAGCAGCACAGGCUAAUAUUUAGAUUAUCCUGAUUCCAAGAUUAAGUUGUAUGCACUUAUUUUCAUUUGUUGUGGAAUAAGGAAAUGAGAAACACACAGAUUGUACAACUUGAUGUCAGCAAUAAAAUAUUGCUCUACUGUGUGUGUGUGUGUGUGUGUGCGCGCACGCGCUCUCUCUCUCUCUCUAAUUACUUUUUUUUUGGUCUGGUAUAAAAAUGUAUAAUUGUGCCCAUCUUGGGCAGAGUAGAGCUGCUGUUCAGCUCUGUGGCUGUUCUCUGUGGGGUCCUGCUUAUACGCCUUCCCUCUUUUGCAAGAUAGUAAGCACAUGUAAAGCUCCGUAACUGAUGUGGAUUUAGGAGAUUAGCAGUGACACUGACUCUGACAAAUCAGAUACAAUAAUGGUUUAAUUGACUGAGGGAGUUGAAGGGCUACUGUAUGAACAAUCCAAUAACCAGUUUAAGUAGUCAAAUAAUGUGCAUAAUGAGAAGAACUAAAUAACAGGUUGAGGUUAAUAUAAAAGCUGAUGACAGUUGUUUAGAUGGGAAUGAUUGGAAUCCACUGACUAUUUACCACUUAAUAUCUGUUUUUAUUGUUUCUAAUUUCAAUAAUCUCUGAUAGCAUGCACUCUUAAAACUCAUUCUUAUUGUACUAUUUGUAAUUUCAUCACCUGCCUACAUGUCUCAGAUUUGUGUUAAAGUAUCAGUAAUAUAGGAGAUGUACUGACUUUCAGUUCAGGAGUUUCUUAAAAGAUAAUAUGGGUUUCUUGCCUAUCCUGUACUUGCUUACAUUUUUUCUUUUUCUAUCUCAGAAGUGCUUUAACAGUAGCUCUGAUUACUUACCACUUCUGAUUUAGCUCUUUUGGUGCAUACAUGCCCAAACAAUGCCAUGUGUGAAUGAAAUAGUAAGUGAAUGAAAUUGUAGAUAGUCUUAGAUUAGGACAAAAACUUCAGUGACUGAACAACUUUUCCCAUUCUUUAUAUAGCAAAAACAAUCAAAGGCACUUAUGGAUGACUAUUUAAACACAGAAGACUCACACAACUCUGAAAAUGGGAAUGCAGAUUGAAUUUAGGUGUGCAGUGAUUGAUUCUGCAUAUUCCCAAAUCUCAGGUUUUCUGUGUGGAUGGUUACUCCCUUCAUGUAUCUCUCUCUCUCUCUCUCUCUCUCUCUCUCUCUCUCUCACCCCUUUGGAGAUGGCAAGCAAUAGUGUAAUCUUCAUUUGUUUUAAAUGGGCAUGGGUUCAUGGAGACAACCAUUGCACUUCCAAACUUAGUCCCUAUAGAUGGAUCUUUUAUUGUCAAGCUAAACUGAUAAUUUCUGCCAACUAUACAAAUAUACAAAUGUAAAUUUUUUUGUAUUCUUUCACAUAUGCAUAGUUAUAACACCAAUUCUGUAUUUGUAAGAACUCAAUUGUUUAGUGUUUAGUGCCUACAUUUUGGAACUCCUUUACUAUUGAGAUCCAGCAGGUGCCUUCACUGUGCUCUUUUUGAUGCCUGCUAAAAAACAGUCCUGUUUAGAUAAGCCAAAUACUUCGAAAAUUGAGGUGAUUUUAAUCUGUUUCAGUAUUUUGACUUGUGUACGUUUUAAAGUUCUUUUUGAUAUUAUUGUUUUAUCUUUUGUAAACCACUUUGAGAUUUUUGAACAAUCAAGCGGUGUAUAAAUUUUAUGAGAUGAAUAAAUAGAGAACAAACAUUUUACUAUUCAUUGGAAGUUUUAAAAUGGGUUAGAUGGCCAUCCAUCAGGGGUUAUUUAGCUGUGAUUUCUGCACAGCAGAGGGUUGGACUAGAUGACCCUUGGGGUAACUUCCAAUGUACAAUCAUUUGAAUCUAUAAUUCUCCAACCCCAAGGGUUUCUGAGAGUGGUGACCAGUUAAAAGAAAACCACACAAUUAAAACAGCUAGUCAUUAAUAUAUUAAAACUUUAAAACAUUGUGUAGUUCUCCAGACUGGGAGAAAUUAAGCUUGUUGCCAACACACUCCAAAAAUAUGUGUGAUAUCACUUCUUUCAAAUUCCUCCUCAAAAUCCACCUUUUCCACAUCUUUUCCACAGAUGUUGUUCUAUUAUUAUUAAAUUCAUAUACUAUCCUUCAUCUGAAGACCAUAGGGAAGUUUACAAUCUAAAAACAAGAUACGUAAACAAAACUGGGCCCAUUGAAAAGGAUCUAGAUGAAAAUUGAUUUCCUCCAAGAACUCCUGAAUCUGGUCCACUACCACCCAUUCAAGAACCUUGCCCAAGAAGAGGAGCGUGACAACUGGCCAGUAAUGACUUAGAUGUUCCAAAUCUAGGGAGGGUUUCUUUAGGAAUGGGUUUACCACUACCGCCUUCUAGCAAGCAGGGACCACCCCCUCUCACAAGGAGGCAUUAAUCACCUUCCUGGUCUAGCCAGCUGUCCCCUCCUUGCUAGUUUUUAUCAGUCAAGGUGGGCAAAGGUCCAGAGCACAAGUGGUCACCUUGAAUGAUCAAAGCACCUUGUCUACACCCUCAAUCCAGGUACUCCUGGGCCCAUUGCUGUCACUUGAGGCUCAGGUGGCCUCAGUGAUGUGAAGUGCCCUCCAUCAGCUUUGGCUUGUGAUGAGAUGGAAAUGGGAUUUUUCACUGGUGUCACCAGUGUUAAGGAACACACUCCCUGCUGAAAUACCAAAGGCUCCAUCUGUAUUGGCAUUCCACCUUCGUUUGAAGGCAUACCUGUUUACACAUUUAUUCCCUUGAUCUUUUGACCCAAGUCUCCCAUUUUAAUUGCUGUGCUGUUUUAUUUUGAUUGUUUUAUUGCUUAUAUUCAACACGGAUACUUAUAUUUUAAUGUUAUAAUGGGAUUAUUGUAUUGUGUAUUUUAAUGGUGGCAUAUUUUAAAUUUUGCAUUUUCUCAGUUUCUGCAAUUGGUUUUUAUGUUUUAUAAACUGUUUAGAAGCCAUAUGAAGUGAUACGUCCUGUUCCAUGACCAAUAAGCAUGGGACACCUUUGUCCAGUGGCUCCGUGGCCCAUAGAUUACAGCAAAGUACUGGGCAAGGUUUUGUCCAGUAUCUCCUCUGUGUGAAGGGCUCAUGGGAAAAAGCUGUCCCAUGAGUCCUUGCUGCAGAAAGGAGGGGAAAGCCUAUAUAAGGCUGCUUCCCCUAGAACUCAGAGCCAUUUUGCUUUGAGAGCUUCCCACCCGCCCACCCUUAGGUUACAGCCUUCACUGAGCAAUUUUGGGUUGCUGGUUGACAGGGCCUAAAAGGAAUCUUUUUCUCUUAACCUGAUUGGCACUUGGUUGGGGUUUUUUUCUGCUUUUCCCUCAGUGAAAUUAUGGCUUUCCAUUGUUAGGAGGAAGAACGUUGUUUGUAUGAGGGUGGAAAUGGCAUUGGGCAGGAUAAACAUAGUAUAGGGGGCCUCCCAUAAGGGACCUGAGGGGGGAAUUGACUACAGCAAACCCAAGCAUGGGUUUUAUAUCUGCCUGGUUGGAAUCUGUCCCCGGCCCCCAAGUGAGAACUUGCUUCCUUGCUUGCAGCACGGCAAGGUUCAACACUGGUCAACUCCUGUCAUACAGGUUUGGAGUGAUCGAGCAGAUCCAUUCCAUCAACAUGGGGCUUGUGGAAUAAGGAACUGAUCCUGGGAGUCAAUGCCAUGCCAACCCUUGCCUGCCUGCUGCUGUCAAGAAAGAAUUAGCCUGAUUUUACCCCAUCACUGUUGUACAAGCUGGUUAUUUUGCUGCUCUCAUGGGUCACAUAAUGUACUUGCCUGGGCAAAUAAAGUCAUAAUCAUUCCAUGAUGCCCACACAUCUGUUUCUAAAUCUGCAACUCUAAGUAAACUUGCUAAUGAGUAAACCCUCUUGAACUCAAUGGGGAUCAACUUCCAAGGUAGCAUGCUUUGGACCAUGCUGUCAGUGUACUAGUCUUUUAAGUCAUGUGUUGCCCAAUCCUCUUGGGAUUUAUAUCCCAGUUGGUUAUUCCAAAUUGAGGCUGCAGUCCUGUUUACACUUAUCAGGAGUAAGUCUCACUGAUUAUUGAGAAAUACCUCUGAGUAAAUAUGCAUAGAACCAGGCUGUAGCUUUUACAAGUAGAAACUGCAUGUCUUAAAAUAUCAGGCACACCUUCAAACCUUUUGCAAACCUUGAAUUUCAUAUUUUAUGAUAUCCAUGUGAAACAGGGUGCCAUGACAAGGUUGAAGGAUAUUGACUCACUAAGGCCACUUAGAAAGUUGAGUCCAUCUUUUAUGAGGCUUUUACUAUAGUUGCUACUUGUAUCUCUCCACACAGUGAGAUGUGCUUGUAACCACCACCCCCUCCUGUAUACUUACAAUUCUGAACAGGUGUCAUAAACUACAGAAGAAAUGUGCAAAAUAUUUUAGAUGUUCCACCUAAUGCUAGCAGACAGGAGAUGAUCAAUGAGAUUUUUUCCCUUCUGUUCUCAUCCUGUAGAUAAAUAAUUCCCUGAAAAGUGGAAAUGAAUAAAAUAACACAGUCAAAGCUUUGGCAUCUGUCCUGCUCUGUUUCCACGGAAUCCAUGAAGAGCCACGGUCGUCUUAUUGUAAAAUCCUAUGCUGGCAUUUAAUGACAAAAGGGCCAUGACCAGGUACACCAUCAAAGGUUUGUUGUGCUUCUCUAGCAUUGACCUUCUCACAUUCAUAGAACUCUUGGGAACCAGAAUGUUGGCGGAUUUCACAGCAUCCUUACCUAUGGUAAGUGCAGGCAGGAUCAGGAAGCAGAGGGCAAACAAAAGAGUGAAAUGUUAGGAGGAGCAGGAAAUGCUAAGGACCAUAGGAGCCAACUCCUAGGGACCAAGUCACUUCGCCAGCCCCCCCUCAGUUGAUGGACAUUGCCAUUCUAACGGUGUGUGUGUUGCACUUCUUGUGAUUGGUUAUGCAAGGCAGGGCUCACCUGGUGCCCACACUAUUUUGUUCAAGUUGGCAUCCCUGCUAAUGACCAAUGUCUGAGAAUACAGACCAACUAAAACACUCCAAAUAAGAGUCACUGCCAGUUCUGUGCUUUUUAUUCCUUGGAAUUUUUCUGCCUCAUUCUUAGGGCACAGGAGAAUAUCUUAAAUGUUGGUGGGUUUUGAGCAACCACAAUGAGGUGGCUGUGUGGUGUGUAGCCUCCUUGUUUGUCUGUGUUUCCAGAGCAGGGAAAAAAAUGCUCAACUGGAGGAAUUCCAUUGUGAUGUUUUUAACUGGACUCUAAUUGAAGUCCACAUGGGAAGGCUGCAGAUUGCGGACCACUGAGAUGAGAUAAUUUGUAGAGAGAAUGGACUCUCACAAACACUCCCUCACAAACAAAGUAAGUGCAACCAAUAUCCUUCAUGUGACCCUUCAGGAUUUCACCAUUUUCCCACCUCUCGCCAAAUGAUGAUUUUCAAAUGCAAAUAAUUUUCCUCAUUAAUUGAUGGAAAAUAGUAAUGGAGCAGGGAAACCCUGGAGAAUUUUUUGGCAGGGCACUGGUCAAUACACAAUUAACUUAUAAAUACACCCAAAUACACCUUGUGAAAGGUAAUUGUUUAUGGAGUGUGUGUGUGUGUGUGUGGUUUUUUUACUCUGUCCCUCUUGCAUCUGUGGUAGCUUUUAUUGGAAUGCAAAUAGCAACAACAGUGGCAGCUUCUAUUGAAAUGCAAAUAGCAGCAGAUGAUGAUGGUCAUUGGGACCACAGUAAGGGAGGAAAGGGUUAAAAAAAUCUGCACAUGGCCUGGGUACUGAUGGAUGUUGUGAAAGGCCAAACUAUACAAUGGAUCUCCAAUGGCUGUUGCAUUGGAAUUGCUGGUGCAUAUAUUUUAUACUUGGCUAUUCUGGUAUACCACAGAAAAAUACUAUUGGGACCGAUUGCCAACUUGCAUCAUCAUCCUAGCAUGAUUUGGGAAUAAUUGCUAUUUUUUUAUAAUGGUGUUUCUGCAUAGGUGGUUAUAGGAAGGGUAGAAGGUAAACCCAUUUCUAUUGCCCGUGACAGAUUAGUGCCCCAACUCCUUGCAGCAAAAAUAAUAAGAUGCAAGGAUCUCUACAUGUCCUGGCAUGGAAGAAAAUGCUUGCAAAGUUGGUUGCUAGAUGGUAGGAUAAAUUUAAAAGAUGGAUUAAUAUUUUCAAAGUUUGAAAACAUUGGCACACUCAGUUAAACUCAUAGAAAAAUGAAAGCAAACAACUCCAAAAUAUUGGUCCACAGAAAGGAUUCAAAAGACGUAUUUAGAACGGAAUAGGGUCUGCCUGUCUCUAUCUCUCAUUGUGUCCUUCAGCCACAUAACAUACGAGUCAUUUAUGAUAAACAAUAAUGGUUAUCACUAUGUGGUGGAAGUAGUUAUAUCUUUUAGACUUGGCAGAUUCUGGUAAACUUGCAAAGGAGCCCCUCCUCCCCACAUUCUCAUGAUUUUUGAAGAUCAGUCAAUCAGAACAUUUGAGCUUGGCUCUUUUAUAGACUUGGCUGCUAUUAGAAUAUUGUUUUAUGGACUUUAAUUGCUUUGUUGUAUUUUGACAUUGUGUUUUCAGCUGCCCUGGAAAUUUAUUUUGAAGGGCAGGGUGUAAACGUUUCCCAUGAAGAAUAAAUCAAUAUUCAAAGAAACACGUUUGAUUUCUGAGUCUUACCUGUCAUCUAUAUGUAGACUGAAAGCCUAUUGAAUUUUCUGUCAGGGUUUUCGGAAGCAAACUGAGAAAAUGCUUAGCAUGAAGAUGUCAUCACUUAACGAAUCAAAUUCUGCAAUGUAACUCCUAAAUUAAUGAUUCCUCUCACUAUUUACUGUGUAUGACUCAUGUAAAAUAAUUGUAUCAUGAGUUCUGUCGUGACCUCCUUUCUGAAAGCAUCAAGAGCCUUUGAGAUUCAUGAAGUAGGUUUCACAGUAGAUGUUAUGAAUAAAUUGUGUAAAUAAUUAUUUGUUUGAAAAUAUACUGAUAAAACUCUCUAUCUACUAGAGAAGACUAUCCAUUAACUAAAGGAACUGGUGAUAAUCAUAGCCUUUGAUAUUCUUAUAGCUCUUUGGAAUCAUUAGGCUGAGGUUGGCAAGUUUUCUUGGAUUCACAAUAUAAGGUAUAAUAUCUGCCUCUGCAGCAUCUCUUAGCUUCCUUUCAGGACCUCAGAUAUAUAUAAAAUUAUAGGCAGCUAUUCCAAUCCCAUAUACCACAAGAAAAGAUAAUAGGAACUAAUUACUUCCAACAAUACACUGCUUACUGGGGGAACCCCCACAAAUAAAUAGGACUUCUUACUUCUGAAUAGACAUGGCUAGGAUUGUGCUAUAGAUGUGUUUUAUUGGUAAUUUUACUAUUCUUUAACUCUCAAGAGGUCUAUCUACUUAAAAAGGUUUGCGUUCCAAAGAGAGGCGGAGGUUGCAUUCAUAUGCGGGGUUUAUUCUGUUCAUUUUACUGAUUAUAAGAUUAGAGCUUCUGUCCCCUUUUCUAACAUUCCUUUCACACUGCAGUACCAUGUUGUGCCUAAUUUCAUUCACACUAGUAGGUCCUCCAGUGUGACAUGAAAGUUAGAAAUCGGGACAGCAGCACUGCCCUUACAACAAUCCCCUCUGCUCAACAGCAGAGAAGAGCUAUUUGCAGAGCAUCCCUAGCAAGAUGGUGGGGCAGGGAAUACCCUGCAGGUUUGAACAGGAGUGAGGCAAAGGAUGACUAGGUCAGAGUGCUUGUUCACUUUGAGGCUGACCGUCUUUUCAGUGGUCAUCUUUUGGCACAAGUCUGACAGCAACAGUGAGCUAGAGAAAACUUGGACCCUGUGGCCAGGCCUAAGCAAAACUCCCAUGGUUUUCCAGGAAAGGAAAAGGAUUAUUUCCAGAAUCAAAAACAUGGAAAUGUGUGCUAAACUUGCACUAUAUUCCAUUAAAUUUCUGGAAGUGUUUUGUUUGGGGUUUUUUUUAAAAAAAAAUCAAUAGAAAGAUCUAAUAUAAUGCACAAAUCAAUUGUUUGGGAAAUGUUGGGAAAACAGAAUGUCUGUGUGAAUGCAGCCUGACAUAGAGACAGAAAAUUGAGACUGGAGGGAUACAGUUUUGGAUAAAUGAAAGACUGGAUGAAUAAAAUUUAAAAGAACAAAAAAAUUGGCAGAAUAUUUCCUUUUGUCACUUGCCAUGUGGUUUUAAUCUGUUGCCAAUACUUUAUACAGUGGUACCUUGGGUUACAUAUGCUUCAGGUUACAGAAUCUGCUAACCCAGAAAUAGUACCUCGGGUUAAGAACUUUGCUUCAGGAUGAGAACAGAAAUUGUGCUCCGGCGGUGUGGCGGCAGCAGGAGGCCCCAUUAGCUAAAGUGGUGCUUCAGGUUAAGAAUAGUUUCAGGUUAAGAACAGACCUCUGGAACGAUUUAAGUACUUAACCUGAGGUACCACUGUAAUGGAAGUUACGAUGAAGAUUAUCAUAUAUAUUUGAGUGUGUGUGUGUGUGUGCGCGCGCGCCCCAUGAAUGGGACUGGCCCUACCAUUAGGCAGGGUGAGGUAGACACCUCGGGCCAAAGACGAUGAGCAGUGGGCAGUAGUGACAAGGAGACUGUGUUCUAUUUGGCCUGCUCUGUGACCCCUAAGAGACCUUGCUAUCUUCAAGUGUGGUGCAGGAUACUAUUCCGUCAUCAGCAAUGCUGUAAAAUUCAGCUACCAGUUGGGCUGGUUAACUGCUUACAUGUUUAGAAAACACAUCUUCUCAUUUACCUCAGGCAGCAAAAUGCAUUAAGCUGGCCCUCCCCAUGCGGGAAAAAAAAAAGCCAAGUUGGAAGGGAAGGGAAAUCCUUCAAUUUUGGCUGACAAAAAAGGCACACUGGGCCCUUCCAACGUCAGCUCAGAUGCACUGCCCCAAAACGUCAGACACAAAGCCACGAGCAACAUGUAGCCAGAAGCCUCGCAACACACAGCUCUGGGCACUGUGCUGCUAUACAGCUGUUGGUCCACUACAAAGAGGUCCCCAGAAUGCACCAAAGGGAUGACGGAACUCGGUAUAUAUACAGGGAAAAAACCCUGUAUAUAUAGAGGAGGGGAAAGUAGAGGUCCUGUCAUUUUAAGGACAAUAAAUAGGUUUAAUUAACAUUUAUCUUAACAGAUGCGCCAAUUAUGAUAAUUUCAAUUCUACUUUUUUAUAACAGAUUUUUGCCCAUACAGUAUAUGCAUGCAGAUAUCUUUCAUAGUAUGCUUCUACAGCUCAGAAAUAGCACAAUAAUAAUAAAUAUUCUGUGGCAACUGUCGCUGUGCAUUCUUUCCUGGAUGCUUUACCUGCCAUUAUUUUGACCUUCUACUGAAAAUGGAAGCACAGGGUUUGGAGAUGAUAUUUAAUGAAACAGGAAAUAAUUAUUUUUUUUAAAAAAAAUCUUAUGCCGACAGCACCUUAACCUUUCAUGAGAAAUGUGUCUGUCACUGUGACAAGAGUGAAUAAUAUGAAUUGUUUCAUUAACACACAAUUAUUUAUGUGUCUUAAUUGUGUGUGUGUGUGUGUGUGUGUGUGUGUAUUUAUAGGCAUGGGUAAUAUGCAAUCCUAUACAUGCCUGAGCUCUAUGUGACUUGCUUCCAGUACAGAUGUGUGUAGGGUUGCCACCUAGAAGUUAUAUAUUUAUUUGAAUCUAGUACAGAAGAGCGAAAAGGCUUCGACGGGAUCAUUUAUAUUGAAUAUUUUAUUUUUAUUUUUACUGGAUUGAGUUGAAAUUGAAGGGAAUCAAGGGAGGAGAUUUCACCACAACAUCCUAAAAGCAGAAUUUAAUUGACAGUGGAACAGACUACCACAGGAGGGUGUAAGCUCUCCUUUGCAAGAUAUAUUUAAUAGGGCUGUCUAAUAGGACUUCCACGAGAGGUUGUGGACUCUGCUUCCUUGGAGAUUUUUAAGCAGAUGUUUGAUGGCCAUCUGUCAUGGAUGCUUUAGCUGAGAUUCCUGCAUUGCAGGGGGUUGGGCUAGAUGACCCUUGGGUCCCUUCCAACUCUAAGAUUCUAUGGCACCCUGAUCCAAUUUGGGGUCUGAUUUGGUGCUUUCGAUCAGCUCUGGUAUAACCUGGGAGUUUUUCUAUCCCCUUGAUAUUUUUGGUUACACUUUUCUGAACCUUUCCCCAACUUUACAAUAUUCUUUUACAGGUGAGGUGCCCAGACCUAUACAUAGUAUCCCAAGUGAAGUCACACCAUAGAUUUAUAUAAGGACAUUGUGGUAUUUGCAGUUUAUAUUUUCAGUUACUUUCCUAAGGAACCUUAGCAUGGAUUCACAUUUUUCACUGCUGCUGUACACUGUGUCAAUAUCUUCCCUGAGCAAUCCACUACCACCCCAAAAUCUAUUUCCUGGUCCAUCACUGCCAGUUCAGAGCCAUUAUUAUAUAUGUGAAAUUAAGUUGUUAUUUUCCCCUGGCAUACGUCAUUUUGCACUUGUUUGCACUGAAUUACAUUUUCCAUGAAUUUGCCAUUCACUCUAUUUGGAGAGGUCCUUUGGGAGCUCUUCACAAUCCCUUUUUGUUUUAAUCACCCAGAACAAUUUAGUAUGAUCAAACUUUGCUACCUGACUGCUCACUCCUAACUCCAGAUUAGUUAUGAACAAGUUAACAAGCACAAGUCCCAGUUUCAAUCCUUUGGUGAUUCCACUUUCUACAUACCUCUAUUGGAAGAACUAUCUUUUUACUCCUACUCUCUGCUUCCCAAUCCACAAGAGGACCUCUCUGAUUCCAUGGCUGCUUAACUUACUAGGGAUUCUUUGGCAAUGUAAAGAGCUAUUUAAAAGUCCAAGUGCAAAACGUCGGCUGGAUCACCACUAUCUAUAUACAGUGGUCCCUCUGGUUAUGUACUUAAUUCGUUCCGGAGGUCCAUUCUUAACCUGAAACUGUUCUUAACCUGAAGCACCACUUUAGCUAAUGGGGCCUCCCGCUGCUGCUGCUGUGCCGCAGCAGUGCAAUUUCUGUUCUCAUCCUGAAGCAAAGUUCUUAACCUGAGGUAUUAUUUCCGGGUUAGUGGAGUCUGUAACCUGAAGCGUAUGUAACCCGAGGUACCACUGUACUUGUUGACACUAUCUAAAGAAUAGUGAGAUGGGGCUUACUCUUGCUGGUUUUGUUUUAGUAAGGCUUCUUCUUCCAUACACUUGAUAAAGUUAUCUUUGACAAUAUUUUCCACCACUUUCCCCAGAACAGACAUAUAUUCCCUCUGCUUAUCUUUCUAUAAUUUUGAAUUCUUGAAAAGUAUUAUUAUUAAAAAGUGAAUAAUAGCACCAUGUUUGGGAAUCUGUUGUAGCAAUGUGCUUUCAGUUAUAUCAUAAUAAUUAUUUUGCCAAUAUUGUCCACAGGUUUGCCACCUCUAGUCCAAAUACUAUGAUUCUCUGUGGUAGAUUUGCCAAUAUGUGGCAAAUUUCACAUUUAAAAACAAUCCAGUAGGAAGCUAUACAUGCUACAGUGAUGUUCUAAUUUGAUUGCAACAAGGUCCUUUUAAGACAUUGGGGCUGACUUCUAAAUAAGCUGUUUAGGAUAGGGUGCAAGUUUAUGUUCCACAGCUUACCUUACUUAGCACUUAGAGAAAAAUAUUCUGCUAUAAUCAGCAAAAUGAAGAGUUAAUCCCAUCACUUCAGUGAUAGGGGUCAACACAUUAAUAUUUCAGAUGCUGGUUUCAGUCUCUUGAUUACAUAUGAUGUUGGUUACUGCAAAAGAAAGAUAGAUUAAUGACUUGGGAUACGAUAAAAAAUUCAUCAUUUAUGCUUGAAGUUCUGGGAACCAGUGGCAGAUCAAUUAAUAUUAAUGCCCAAUCAGAAGCCUGAAUGGAAAAGGAUUGAUUCAAGCUUUGAAAACUGUGCUUGAUAAUAUAACUGAACAGAGAAACUUAAUUGAAUCUUAAGUGCAUUUUAACAACUUUCAAGAUAAAUGGGGCAGCAUGGAAAUACUAGAUCUGGGUCUGUUAGUAAAAGAAUUUGUUCUUCCGGGCAGCAAUAAAUGUGCUAUCAUUUAAUAGUCUGAUGUCUGCUUUUUAAAUUUUAUUUUACGAAGAACAGAUUGAAUUUAUGAAUGGCAAACCUGUUGAUUUGCAGAAGCUAUAAGUAAAAUAUGAAUACCUACAUAUUAUAUUAAGACACGGAACAGUGAAGUGCUUAAUAAAUUCUGGAAGCACACACACAAAAAGCGCAGGAAGUAUUUUCAACCCUUACAGAUCAAAGAAACGUGAGCCAGGAUCCUUAGAACUGCACAAAUUGUCCCAAGUGCAUAAUGAGUUCCCAAGUAGGACUCUGCCUUCGCAUCACAUUGGUAAAUCAUUUCCUUUUUAAAAGGAUGGUGGUAGUAAAAAAUCCAGUUGCGUUGGGAAUGCCCAAGACUUUGGGUGUGCCUCAAGCAGCUUUCUGGAUACUCCCCUUCCCAAUGUCUUGGAUGGAAUUUUAAACUAACUGGUAGCCCUUCUUAAGGGAGGUGUCUUCAAAACAUCCAUGUGAAAACCACAUUUUGUUUUUAAGAAUAGUAGGGGGAAAACACAAUGAGGUGCCAUCCAGUGGAAAUGAAACACAUUUCAAAUCCCAGCAGAAGAGAUUUAAGCCUAAUUCUCUGAUUGAAAUCAGUGGGCUUUAAAAGUGUUUCAUUUCUACAGAAUUGUUCCUGGUGUAUAUUUCUUUUUCUUACCAUGUAUUUCUGUUCAACACAUUGUCUGUCAUUCACAAUAGAAAGGUGGUCAAGGAAGUGUGAGAAUGUAGUAGCUGAUGUAUUGGAGUAAAUAAGGGAGACAAAAAAGGACACCCUUUGUCUUCCACUAUCUCUAUAUGAACCAUCUGCCGGUGAGAUCACAACUGGAGGACAGGGAAGAAGGAGGAGGCAUACACCUGCUUUGUGAAUCUUUCUGGAAGAUCAGCUUGACUUCUAGCAAUAAUGAUAGCAAGCGUGCUUCUCACAGAGGACAGAGGAUUCAGCUGUUUCAAAGGCACUAUGGUCCUUUUAUAUUUCCCCUGAGAGAGGGUGUAGUAAUCGUACUGUUCUACAGAACUCUGUUCUACAUUCUCUCCCAGCAUCUGUCUAGGAGGGGAGAAAAGAAUGAAUUUGGAGACAGGGCCUAUUUAUGGCCUGAUUUGAGGGUUUCUAUAUCUUUUAAAAAAUCAUUUCAACACACUUGACUCUUGUAUAUCCAACAGUGUUGGUCUGCCUUCAUCCUCAGUUCUCGAACUGUUGUAUAUAGAGGAGUCGAGUGUGCCGAAAAGCACAUUAGAAUCACACCUCUUCAUUUUUCUUCAACAGCAUUGUUCAAACUUAGCACUUCAAUAAUUGUUGCCAUCUGAAAUAGUGCCAACUGUUUCAGACUUCUCCACAAAUCUACAAAAACGAGGGUUAAAAGCUAAUGCAGUUGAGCAACCCAAGUAGAAGAUAUGCUGUUGGGCAUAAUACUUACCUCCUAUGGAAGAAUCUACUAUCAAGCAAUCAUAAAUAUUUGACCAUACAAAUCUUCUGAAAUUUUCGGAUCUCCAUCUGAUUUGUUUAUCUAGCCCAACUACCAUCUAAGACUGGGGAGGGAAACCUGUGGUCCUCAAGAGGUUGUUGGACUCUAAAUCUUACCAGUCUUGACCAUUGACCAUGCUGGCUGGGACUGCUUGGAGUUGGAGUCCAAGAACAUCUGGAAGGUUCCUCACCCCUUAUUUAUGUUUAGGAAGGUGGUGACCAGGUUUCCCCCCCCCCCCAUAUUUAGACUAUCCUCCUCAGAGAAGCUCAUGUGGUGCCAGUUAACAUCUUCUAUGGUUGUCCAGCAUUUCAGCAACUUGUAUAGAUGUUUUUAAUUGUUGCUUUAUGACUUUCAUUUCUUAAUGGUUCUGUGUCCCCAUGCUUUUAUUGGAUUUUUAUUUGCUUUAUACUUUUAAAUGGUUUGCUUCCCUUGGAUCUGCUGAUGAUGAACAGCUAAAGUGUAUUCUGUAACUAAGCAAUUUUUUAAAGUAAUUUAUAUUUUUUUAAAGUAAAUUAAAUUGGCUGGGGAAUACUGUGCAGAACAGUAAUGGGGAGCCUGAGGCCACCCAGAUGUUGUUACACUAUAGUUCUUAUCAUCCCUGACCAUUGGCCAUACCAUCUGGCGUUGACAAAAGUCAAAGCACAACAUCUGGAAAAUCCCAGGUCACUCAUCAUGGUCGGCCAGCCUGGAUCUCAAAGAGAUGCACAGAAAACAGGUGCCAUCUGUGAGCCAUAGGUUCCAUGGCACAGAGCAAUGAAAUUUAUGUACACUUCCUCUGUAUUCCAACUUAGUUAUCAGUGAAUAUGCAGUCCCAUUUAUAUUUCAUACUUUCAGGUUCUCUGUACUAUUUUGUAGUAAGUCUGUUUUGGAACAGAUAUUUUGGAUAACCUAUUUACUUCCUUGAACUCUCAUAUACAGGUAAUUCUCUCUUACCAAAAAUAAGCACUCAUCACCGUCUUGAUUGUGCCAUGCAUUUCAUGAAAAUCUCAGUACAAAUAACUGAGGAAUUUAUUUUUUUAAAAAAUAAGAUAUUCAGCAUAUGUAUACUCUUUGUUACACCACUAUCUUCUGCCCCAAGCAUUAAAUGAAAUAUUAUUAGAAGAAAAUUCUGUUGCUUAAUGAUCAUAGAAUAGAAUCAUAGAAUCAUAGAGUUGGAAGAGACCACAAGGACCAUCGAGUCCAACCCCCUGCCAAGCAGGAAACACCAUCAGAGCACUCCUGACCUAUGGUUGUCAAGCCUCUGCUUAAAGACCUCCAAAGAAGGAGACUCCACCACACUCCUUGGCAGCAAAUUCCACUGUCAAACAGCUCUUACUGUCAGGAAGUCCUUCCUCAUGUUUAGGUGGAAUCUUCUUUCUUGUAGUUUGGAUCCAUUGCUCCGAGUCCGCUUCUCUGGAGCAGCAGAGAACAACCUUUCUCCCUCCUCUAUGUGACAUCCUUUUAUAUAUUUGAACAUGGCUAUCAUAUCACCCCUUAACCUCCUCUUCUCCAGGCUAAACAUGCCCAGCUCCCUUAGCCGUUCCUCAUAAGGCAUCGUUUCCAGGCCUUUGACCAUUUUGGUUGCCCUCCUCUGGACACGUUCCAGUUUGUCAGUGUCCUUCUUGAACUGUGGUGCCCAGAACUGGACACAGUACUCCAGGUGAGGUCUGACCAGAGCAGAAUGCAGUGGCACUAUUACUUCCCUUGAUCUAGAUGCUAUACUCCUAUUGAUGCAGCCCAGAAUUGCAUUGGCUUUUUAGCUGCCGCGUCACACUGUUGGCUCAUUUCAAGUUUGUGGUCAACCAAGACUCCUAGAUCCUUUUCACAUGUACUGCUCUCAAGCCAGGUGUCACCCAUCUUGUAUUUGUGCCUCUCAUUUUUGUGCCCAAGUGCAAUACUUUACAUUUCUCCCUGUUAAAAUUCAUCUUGUUUGUUUUGGCCCAGUUCUCUAAUCUGUCAAGGUCAUUUUGAAGUGUGAUCCUGUCCUCUGGGGUGUUAGCCACCCUUCCCAGUUUGGUGUCAUCUGCAAAUUUGAUCAGGAUGCCCUUGAGUCCAUCAUCCAAGUCAUUGAUAAAGAUGUUGAAUAAGACCGGGCCCAAGACAGAACCCUGUGGCACCCCACUAGUCACUCUUCUCCAGGAUGAAGAGGAACCAUUGAUGAGCACCCUUUGGGUUCGGUCAGUCAGCCAGUUACAAAUCCACUGAGUGGUGGCAUAAUCAAGACCGCAUUUUACCAGCUUCUUUACAAGAAUAUCAUGGGGCACCUUGUCAAAUGCCUUGCUGAAAUCAAGGUAGGCUACAUCCACUGCAUUCCCUUCAUCUACCAGGCUUGUAAUUCUGUCAAAAAACGAGAUCAGGUUAGUCUGGCAUGACUUAUUUUUCAGAAAUCCAUGCUGACUAUUGGUGAUCACAGCAUUCCUUUCUAGGUGCUCACAGACUGUUUGCUUAAUGAUCUGCUCCAGAAUCUUCCCUGGUAUUGACUUUAGACUGACUGAAGCAUGGAGAAUCUGGCUCUUUUUCUUUCUCAGAGCCAGUACAAAAUGACAUUAGAUGCUGCCUUCAGAUUGUCUGUCUGCAUAGCAGACAAUGAUAAAGAUAAAGAUAAAGUAUUAUGUUACAUUACUGCAUGAUAAUGCCAUUGCUAUCUUAGGAUGGUACUGAAAAUAACUUUGGUUAUUACUAUAACUGCCGCUGUUCUGUAGAUAUAUAUAUAUUUCCAUGAAUGAGAUUAGAUGGAACUCACUGCCUGCCUAAAUUCUACCUUACUUUACUCGAACACUGACUUAAUAUACCUUCAUUAGAUGAUGUGCUUUAAUAUUGUGUCCAUAAGCCACAAGUGAUAAAAUACUCUAUUUCAUGAAAAUUUGGGAUAUGGUUUGUAUUUCAUGGUAGACGGUUCUACAAAUGUGGAGAUUAUACAGAAUAGUGGAGAUGCCUUUUGUUAUUCACACUAAACUCAAUAAAUCAUUGACAGAAGAAAUUUGUGUCCCAAAAUACUCGUCAUUAUUCCUUUUCCAAAAAAUGCCAAAUGUGAUUUCUGUAAUGGCAUAUUUACGAAUCAAAGGGGAAUAACCCAUGGUCCCAGAAAUAAAAGGGGCAAGACACCAGCCAUGGAUUAAAUAAGCAUCACAACUUUGUUAAUUGGUUUACCUUUGGGGUGGCUAACUUGUGGCCCUCCAAAUACUGUGGGGCUCCAGCUCCCAUCAGGCCCCGCCAACAUGGCCAUAGGUCAAGGACAGGCUUCCUCAACCUCGGCCUUCUAGAUGUUUUUAGCCUACAACUCCCAUGAACCCUAGCUAGCAGGACCAGUGGUCAGGGAUGCUGAGAAUUGUAGUCUCAAAACAUCUGGAGGGCCGAUGUUGAGGAAGCCUGGUCAAGGACAAUGUGAGCUGCAGUCCAGCAUCCUCUAGAGUUGCCACAGCUGAGCCAACCCUAGUUUAAAUUUUAUGCCAUGGGAUAACUUUAAUUUAAUUCUGCAUUCCCAACACAAGUGUGGGUAUAACCCUGAUGUUGAAAUGAUAGGUGCUACUUUUUUGGCUGCUCCAGUCUCACAAGGUUCAGGGUACCCCAGCCUGGCUCUGAUUUCAGGAGUGAUGAAGAGGCUUUACCCAGUUCCUUCCACAUAUCUCAUGAUGGUUUGUGGUCUUGAGAGCCAAGCUACCACCCACUGAGCCUAAUAGCUUUGCAUAGGUGAUUUCAGACAACUCCUAUUCCCCCCCUUCCAAGCCUAGUAGCCCUCAAAACCACAUUUAUGGAAGCCCUCAUUCAUCUUCUAAGCCUUUCUGAACCUUGUGCCCCUCCCACACUAGUUUAUGAUUUAUUUAAUUUUUCCCAAGUUCUCAUGAGCAAUUGCCAGCAUUGGAGUGUGAAUUGCUCCUACACUUGUCCACCUUACCUCAGGAUGUGUGUUUUUUUUACAUAUUGUGUAGCUGGAAACCUGCAUUGCAAAAUUCAAAGAAGUGUGAAUUCAAGUGAUGGUUGUGUUUUGGUUUCUUGUAUUGUUUCAGAAAGUGCAAAUUAGGUAGGUUUGUCUUCAAAUGUGAACUGAAUCAAAUUUCUCCUCUGUUCCUACCCCAUGCAGAUAGAACACAGUACAGAAUCACAUGUAAGCGAAAAACUGACACAUACGUGGAUGAGUUUUUCAUACUCUCACUACUUUGUCUUUUCUGAAGUAAUUUUUCUUGCUUCACAACUUGAGCAUUUUGGAAAGAACCAUAUGAUUGCUGGAGACUUUUGUUCGUGCUGAGAGGCAUGUUGGUUUUUUAGUGAGUCAGGCUAGCGCCUCAGCUGUGGCACUCUUAUCCAUUUGCCACCGCUGAUUGUUUUGACCCUGAAAAAAUACACCUGCUAACGCUGAAGGGAGGAGAUGACCUGUUCAUAAUCCAGUGGCUCUGUCUUUGCUCCAUUUCACACAUAAAUUAAGAGAAGAGCCAAAGGAAAUGUGUCUGAAGCAGGCAAGCAUCUGAUAAAGGUCAAACCUUCAGAAACAUCUUUUACAACAGAUCUGGUGCAAGCAAUUACGGUGUACCUUUUUAUUUCACAUACGUGGGUGAUGGAUGGCUUGACUUUCUCUCCUAGUCCAAUCCAUCUCCUCUAAGAAAGUACAAUUGGGUGAUGACAGCACAAUGCGAAUAACAAAGAAAGAGUGACCCCAUCUCUUUAGCUGCGCAGCUAGUCUUAUUAGUAAAAUUUCAGCAGUGUUGAGUCCCCUGUUUUGAUGACAUGAUCUCGAGGCUCCUUAUUGUGGCCAAUGUGUCCUCUCAACAUAUCCUAUCUGAGGCUUCUUUAACAUUUGUCUUUUCUCCAGAUGUUGUUCACUGCAGAGUGUUAGGAAUUAAUGAAUGGAGACUUGCAACAAAAUGUAGCCGUCACUCUAGUUUUUAUCCACCCACCCAAACAAAAACACAAAUUAUAUGUGGUGCAGUAUGAAGAGUAGUUCAGCCCUCAGGCAUGUGUGUAGUGCAUCUGAGGAAGAGCUCUAACUGUGGAUCAUCUGUUCUGCAUGCUAAAGGUUUCAGGUUCAACCACUUGCAUGCCCAGGUAAGGCCGGAAAAGAUAUCCUAACUGAACCCCUGGAGACAUGCUGCCAGAGAGUAUAGACAAUAUUGGACUAGGUGGAGCAUUAGUCUGAAGGUAUAACACCAUUUCCUGUGUUCCUUUGUACACUGGAUAAGGAAUGCACUUGGAAAGUUCUUCCUUGAAUGUUCUCUUGCAGCCAUUAUCUCUGCCCAGUAUAUCAUUAAAAUCAAGCGCUCCGCAGACAAAGCACACUAUCACAGUGAUGGAACAUUACCCUGUGUAGGUAGCAGAUGAGUAACCUGCAGACAUGCAGCUUUUUCUGUAAUUAGAUUUUAAACGACUAAUGAUAUAUAACUAAUACUACAGCAGUCUCCCUCAUUAUAGUGUACUUUGUUGAAAUUUCAAAGACAUAAAUGCAUAUUAAUUUUGGAAUAAUGUUUGUUCAUUGCAGGGCAACAUGAUGAAAGAAAACAUCAGGUUAAUUGUUUUGUCUUGCCAGUUCAAUAUGCAGGUCACAAAUGUCCCCAGUGUGAGCCACUAGUACAUGUUUUCUUGACAAUGACUUUGCUAAUCUCUGGUGAUGCACAUGAACUAUCAAGGGACAAUCCUUCCCAAUGUGCCUUAUAGCAGUACCAAUAAUAUUAAUAAUAAUAUAGUAAUAUUUUUUCUUAGCAAAAAAGGCAUAAAUUAGUGCUUUGGUAUGCCAAAGUGAAUGAAGGUAGAAAAGCACUUUUAAAACAUUUUUUUUAAAAAAAAAUAUUCAUGACCUGACAUGCAGAUUUUACAUUCAACUCCUGCAGAUCCAGAUCACCUUUCUCUUUAUGCUGGUUGUUGAGGGUGAAAAAUAUUUUUAGAAUAAUUAUGGCAUGCAACUAACUGCUGGGUCCGAUAAAAUCUUUAGCUGUACAGCAUGGGCAUGUGAAAUGAUUUAUGAUUUAUUUUAUGCAUCUUCUAUAAUGCAUGCUCAGACUUUAAACAGGGAAGUAUGAGAAAUAAACUUUUAGGAGAGAUGUGGUGCAAUUCUGUGCAUGUUUACUCUGAAGUAAGCCUCAUUGAGUUCAAUGGGAUAUACUCUCCACUGCUUCUGUAAGAUCCCAUGGAGCAUAAUGAGACUUCUCAGCAGGCAUGCACAGGAUUGUGCUGUGAGAUACACAGUGCUUUGUUUUAGAUGUCACACUUGAAAACAUUAGGAUAGAUCUGGAGAUAUUGACAUGCAGAAUCCUGUGAGAAGUUACUUGAUGUAACUAUCUAGGCUGGAAGAACAGAGAGACUAUCACUGUGACUGUUUCCAUGAGGUCAACACCUGUGUGCAUGUGGAAUGUUAUGGGCAGAUCCUUUGGUGUUCUAGCAACAAAAUUAUUCCUGCUAGAAGAAGGCAAUGCAGCAAUAUUGUUUUUAUUUUGCACAUAGGGGAUUUGCAUGUUUAGAAUACCUAUUCCAUGGGCAUGACAUCCCAAGUGAAAAAGGACUGUGGAGAAAACUCUGUGUGUGUGUGUGUGUGUGUGUGUGUGUGAAUAUUAUAUAUAUAUAUAUAGAGAGAGAGAGGUGACUCAUGCCCCCCUCCUCUUUGCAGUGGCGAUACCAGGAUUCCCCAUUAAAGGGGUUGUCUUGAGGGGAGGCUUUGGCCGUACGCCUAGAGGUUGUCGUUGCUUUCCCCUGCGAUGGUGGCGUAACAGGGGCGGGCUCUCUCUGCUUGAACAUAUGUUCUCCAGAGCCAGCCCAUCCCCCCCCCCACUGGAUAACCCUGAUGUUCCCCAGAUCCCCGGUGGGAGACUGGGAGGGAUAAACACUCAGUGCUUGAGCCAAAGUCUAUCCCCAUCUGAAACAUAAUAAAGUUGUGGCCAAUUUUAAUCCCAUAGCACGUUGUCUUGAGUCUUUAUUCCGCACGGGGGCCGCCCAGGGUUUGGGGGACUCCGCCUGUCCAAGCAAAUACAUUACUUCUGGUAAAUGAGCCACGAUAACCGCCAGAGGGCCAUGAAAAUGUCUGUACUGGGCAUUUUAGACUUGUCUACCCAUGUACUAUCUGAAACCAAAGGGGCACAUUGCUUGCCAGAUCUGAAAACAUUUUUUCCAGCUCUCCUACCCCACUACUCUAGAAAUCCCAGUAAGAAAGACUAGGAGCUGCUACUAUACAAACCAUAUGAAGGAGCCUUUGGCCAUCAAGCCAGCUCACAGCUCCCCUGUCAAUCAAGAACUCAGGCAAAAUGUUUCUCUAAGCUUUGCUACCUGAGAUUCUUUAGCUGGACAUGUCAAAGAUUGAAACUGGGACCAUGUGCAAGAAAAGUUUAUGUGCUACCACUGGGAGAUGCGUCUGGCCUGCAUGAGAAAUUAAUGGGUAGAGCUUUGAGGUUUUCAAUCUUCUCUAGGUUCCAGCAGAAUUGAAUAUUCAUUUAAUGAUAACAGAUCUCCCCUUAAGGUUGUUCAUUCUGUGAAACCAACCUUUGGACUAAUAAGGAUCAUCACCUCUUUCUCUUUCAUCUGCAAAAUGCAUGUGGAUAAUGAAUUUAGAAUAGAAAUAUUGGCUACAUGAAUUGUUAGGUUUUACUGCACCUGUGGCUGAAGUUCUAAGGAGCAUUUCACUGGCCAGAAAAUUGUAAUAAAAUUUCUGGAGCAUAAAAACAAAGUGAAACUUCUAAGCUGGAACAUCACCACAACCCCCCACCCUGACUUUUAAGUUAUUUGUCUAGGAAAAACUGCGCUGAAUGCCCCCACCCCUGCAAAUAAAAAGCUGGUGCUUUAUUGCAGAUAUAUUCUGCUACAAGUUCUUGGUGCACUAGUUGUGCAUUUGUGGUGGAUUUAUCCUGCUUUAGUUUGUUCUGUGAUGCUUCCACAAUUCUACCCAUGAUUGUUGUCCAGAGGGGCUAAAGUGCAACAAAAGAGGGCCAAAAAUAAACCAGAAUGUUUGUAAUAUAAAAAGUUAUGGGUAAACUCAUCAGAAAGUUAGGGGAUUUGCACUGAUUGGAAAUGGACUUGGGAUAGCUCAGUGGAUGGAGCAUGAGAUUCUUAAUUUCUGGGUUGUGGGUUCGAGUUCCACAUUGGGCAAAUGAUCCUUCCAUUGCAGGGAGUUGGAUGAGGGGACCCUUAUAGUCCCUUGCAACUCUACAAAGCCAUUUCCCAUUCCCAGGGAGAUGUCAUUUCGGGCUGGGAGCAAGCCCUCCCCACCUGCGCAGGGCGGGAUCGCCCCUGUGCCAUUGAAGAAGAAGAAGAGGAGGAGGAGUUUGGAUUUGAUAUCCCGCUUUAUCACUACCCUAAGGAGUCUCAAAGCGGCUAACAUUCUCCUUUCCCUUCCUCCCCCACAACAAACACUCUGUGAGGUGAGUGGGGCUGAGAGACUUCAGAGAAGUGUGACUAGCCCAAGGUCACCCAGCAGCUGCAUGUGGAGGAGCGGGAAAGCGAACCCAGUUCACCAGAUUAUGAGUCCACUGCUCUUAACCACUACACCACACUGAAUGGUCCUCAGCCACGCCACCCUAAGGCCGUCCAAUUCGGACGGUCCGGGGACGUAGUGCGGGCUAUUUAAACUGCCCAUGGCCGAGGACUUGCCCCUGUUUUUCUUCCUGCUUAGCCAGUUCUCCUGCCCCUCCCUUAGACUAGGCUCUUUUCUUUCUUCACCUUGCUAUGGACCUUGGUUGGUUGUCCAAAGGGCCUGGUAGGAAUUUUUCCACUUGGCAAAUUGGUACUGGCCAUUUGGUUUUUCGCCUACCUUGUAGCAAAUUGUCGCAACUUUGUAAGCUUUGGCUGUUAGGCAUUGGAGUAUUAGGUUGAAGGGGAGGGGAGGUGGUGGCCAUCACCUACCCCUCCUAAUUCAAGGGUAUUCUGUUAAAGGAAUCUAAGGGUUGUGGUCUCCAUCCAAAGCCCCAGACGGGGGGCUAGGGCCAUGGCACAACCCCUAGCAAUGACCCUGGGGGAGUCCCUAGUUGAUAUGCAUCAGCAGGGCUCCCCCUACUGGUGGUUAACCCUUCCAAGACUCCUGCAGAUGGGCAGGAGUCAGAUAUAGUUGUGUGGUUUCCAAUGCCUAAGCCAAUACCACUCACAUUCUGUAACCAAUAAGGUUUUGGCCUUUUUUCGCCCAUUUACCAAAAAUACCACUGGGCAACAAUUUUUUUACUUUUUGAAUGUUGUCUAGAUAUCUACAACUGAUUUAGGGUAUUUUUGCACUGCUGAAUCAGGAAAUGGGAUCCAUUUCUCUCCAUCAGGUCAGGUUUUUGUGUUAUGUUGAUUUGAAAAAAAUCAGAUCUUGUGACAAAAUCGAUUACAUUUUUGUGGCAUUAUCAGCUGAUUUUUGUCAACACAUAUCAUCCUAAAUAUGUUUUUAAAAGAAAAAAAUGUUUUUCCAACAACAUAUAUUGAUUACCUGAUAGAAACAUCGAUUACUGUAAACUGAAUGGUGGGCAUUGAUAAAGGUAAGUACACGUAAAUUGCAUGUUGCUUCACCAUUUUUCAAACUUCAGGGCUUGAACUUCCGUUUCUUGAAACUCCUGGAAUGCUCAGCAGCAGGGAGGUCUCUCUUCAGAGUCCAACAUUAGUCAGCCAUCAUGACUGUGUCCCAGCGACCCUGAUACCUGGUCUCCAUCUCUUUCAUGUCCUGAUGGAAUCUCUCCCCCUGCUCGUCACUCAUUGAACCCAGGUUCUCAGGAAAAUAGGUAGUGCAUCUUGUGAAAAUAGGUAGUGCAUCUUGACGCUCAUGUUGCAGCCCAGGUUUCUGAAAGCAGUCAGCAUGUUGUUGACAAGUUCUGCGUAGUUUCUGGCCUUAUUGUUGCCCAGAAAGUUCUUCACUACCAGAACAAAUGCCUUCCACGCUUCCAGUUCCACUUCGUUCAUUGAGUUUCCGAACUCUGGAUCUCUGAUGAGCUGACGGAUCUGAGGACCGUCAAAGAUGCCAGCUUUCAACUUCUCCAUGGUCAAUCCUGGAAAAGCCUGGCACAAGUAAGUGAAGCAGUCACCAUCCUUGUCCAGAGCCUUGGUGAACUGCUUGAUUAAGCCGAGCUUGAUGUGCAGCGGUGGGAAGAGUAUUCUGUCUCUGUCCACCAGAGGGUCGUUGAUGACGUUCCUUUCUUUGCAAGGCACCAAUUCCUCCUGCACAGGCCAGUCCUCCUUCGUGUAAUGCUGAGCACAGUCCCUACUAUCCCACAUGCACAGAAAACAUGGGUACUUGGUGAAGCCAGACUGUUGUCCCAGCAAAAAGUUCACCAUCUUCAGGUCAACACAAAUAAACCACUUAUGCUGAUCAUAACCAAUUUUCUCCAGCACAUACUUCACCACUUCAUAGUUCUCCUUCAGUGUAGUCGAGUGAGCCAGGGGUAUAGAGGCAAACUGGUUGCUGUUGUGUAGCAGAACACAUUUCAGUGAUCGUUUGCUGCUGUCAAUGAACAGUCUCCAAUCUUUGGGUUCGUACUGUGGCACUCCAAGCUUGAGCAGAAGCUGCGCAAUAUCUGCACAGUACACCAAGUCCUUCCCUUCCAAGAAAAAAUGGAGGUACUCUUGAUGCCUGUUGCAGAAGAUGCUGAUGCGAGCACUGUCAGAGAGGAGAUUUUUUUCCUUCAGUCUGGAUGCCAACAGUUCGGCAGAGUCCUUUGACAAGCUGAGGUCACGAACUAGAUCAUUCAACUCCUUUUGGGAAAAUGGAUGUGGAGCAUCAUCUUCAAGAACCACUUUUUCUUCUUUAUGUCCUUCAAGACUGGAGGCAUCUUCAUCACUAAUGUCAGGAAGUUCUCCGAAGAUAGGCACUGGAAUUUCAUCACAAUGAGCUAUAGAACGACGUGCUGAUUGAAGAUCAGGAUACUUGAGGCUGCUCCGGUUCUUUCUGUUGAUCCCAGUCACAUCAACAGCGCAGAAGUAGCAGUCAAUGACAUGGUUUGUCGGCUCCCUCCAAACCAUGGGAAUUCCAAAGUUCAAACUCCUCUUGCCAUUGGUCCACCCACGUAGAGUCUCGGUGCAUUCCUUGCACACCAUGUGUGGCGCCCAAGCUUUAUCCUGGUCACCAUGUUUAAUACCAAAAUAAGCAUGGUAAGCACGCCUUAUGAAACUUGUGCACCAAUUUAUGGAAGAUUUCGAGGUUUUAUGACUUCAAACUGAUCCCUUUUCAACAUAAUCACCCAGAACUAUCGGACCUGAAUACUUCUAAUCAUUAAAAUAAUCAUUUCCAAUCAAAACAAUUAUUCAACAUGGCAUUUUACCCCCACCAACUUCUUCUAAAAUGCUCCACACAAGCGUACAUGUGAACAAAAACGUAAAAACAACAACGUGGCCAUAGCUCAAAAACUUGACCUGACUGAGCAAAACCAAUGUGAUUUUUGGAUUCAGCGCAUCAGAUUCGUCCUAAAUCAACUGAAAAAAUGCAGACAACAAAUUUGUUGUUGACCAGUGUACUGUUUCAUGUGUCUUUAUUCCACUUCCUGGGAGGGUUUGGGACCUUGCCACACAAUUCUAUGAUUCUAUGAAGCAGUGUGACCUCCCCUAAACCUCUGCAGGCACAAACAGCACUGAAAGUGGAAUUACAUGUCACUGCCCCAAUAACCUCAUGAGCACAAAUAACCAUGAAUGAAAAGGAUAUAAUGUCUGUAAGUGUGUGUCCACGUCCUGAAACAGAUAUUACACUGCUUUAUAUGUAGGGGUAUACUCUGUUUAGCGCCCAAAAUCUUUCUGAUAUAGUUGUAUUAUUAAGAGGGUUCAUAUCACAGCAACAACAGCUUCAGAAAGCAUGAUAAUAUGUUGGUAUCAAAUGUGCAUUAGGGAUGAACAGACCAGUCUAAGUCUCUCCCAUAUCUGUUUUGUUGGUAUUCAGACAUAGAUCUAUUCCAUUAUACUUCUUGCAGACUCUCUGAAAAAGCUGCAAGUAAAUUAUACACAUUUUGUGCACACUCUUUCCCUAGAACACAAACAAUUAAAUUCAUUUCAAAGCUUUUCAAUGCAUUUCCCAAAAUAUGCAUUAUAUGGACUUUUUAAAAUGGUUUUUUUUAGAACAGCAUUUACAACAAAAACUUCACCACAGAAUUCAGAUAAAUGUGCAAUGCAAUCGAUAGUUGUGUUCUAAUUCUCAAGCAAGUCUAGGAAAUUGAAUUUUUUGGUCUACUGAGAAAAGUCCAGUAAGAAAAGUAGAGUGAAUUGUUUCCUUCCCCAUCCUUAGUAUAUAUGCUGAGACAAGCAAUCAGUUUACAAUAUUAUACCAACUCUGAAGGUAAGAAGGUAUAGGAUUGCUCUAUGAGGUGCCAUAGUUCCAAAUAGAGAUUUGCAACAACAACCAUAAAAUUGGCUGUAAUAGAAUCAAAGAAUUGUAGAAUUGGAAGGGACGCCAAGGGCCAUCUAGUCCAACCUCCUGCAAUGCAGGCAUCUCAGCUAAAGCAUCCAUCCCACCUAUGCUUAAAAACCUCCAUGGAAGGAGAGUCCACAACCUUCCAAGGGAGACUAUUCCUCUGUCAAAUAGCUCAUACUCCCAGAAAGGUCUACCUGAUGUUUAGUUGGAAUCAACUUUCUUGUAAUUUGAAGCCAUUGGUUUGAAUCCUACCCUCCAGAGUAGAAGAAAACAAGCUUGUUCCCUCUUCCAUGUGACAGCCCUUAAGAUAUUUGAAGGUGGCAAUCAAAUCUCCUCUCAGUCUCCUCUUUUCCAGGCUAAACAUACCCAGCUCCUUCAACCAUUCCUCACAAGGCCUGGUUUCCUAACCCUUGAUCAUCUUUGUUGCCCUCCUUUGCACUUUGUAUAUAGUGGUAUUGAGAACAUAAGCAAUAACAAACUUCUCAAAGUGCUGUCUAUGGGUUUUGGGUUUUUUUAUUCCCACCCCUUCUGUACUAAAGGAUAAAAAUCUAUUACAUGAAAUGCCAUUGCAGCACAGUGUGAUAGUAUACCACUUGUAUUUACUGUGUCACUUCUAAUUUAAUUGGAUUUGACAGAAGGGUAGAAGAUGUUUAUUAUAGCCUGCUUUCACAUUUUGAGUUUGAAUUUCUGCAUUAAUGGAUUCGUCGGAAGCAGCCUCUUUCGCUCCACAUGGAGGGAUUGAUCAGGCCUUCUCUAUGGAUGCCUCCUGAUGGUGACCUUAGCCAGGAAAAGCAGCCUUAGCAGCAUGGUGACAGCAAAGGGCUCAGUUCCAUUGCUGGUCAGACAUAUAGGAGAGCAUGUUGCUGUAGCCUGAUUGAUCUGUCAAUUUAGAUCAGUAAUGCUAGAUACUAGAACGGCAAUGCUAUCAGGAAAUCUCUAGUAAAUUAGAAAGAUAACCUCCAGCCACCAAUUUAUCUUGGUAUCUAGCACAAAUAGCUAGUGCUAGUUCAGCUAUUAUCAAGGGUGGGGAAGAGAUGGUACACAGUCCCCAGAGUCAUCUCUGUCCAGGCAGAGUCACUUUUCAGUAAUACAUAAAUUGAACGCCUUUUUAUUUUCUGAAAGACAAAGUUUAUAGACCUCUUCGAAGGCAAGAGCAGGCAUUUCUUCCCCAGCAGUCAGGCAAGCUUCACCAGCACUAAAGGAACAUACCUUUUAUUGACUCACAGCAAUCUGAAAUUUAUUUUCAUCAUGAAGUCUUGGGCAUUCAGGAAUAUUGAAGGAGCAGCACAGUUGUCUCCCAAUACUUCUAUAGUUAAAUGCAGUUGACUUCUAAAUGAAGAUUACCAACUCCCUCCUCCCCUGCUAUGUCUCUUCCCAUUCGUUGAGCAAAUUGAAUUGUAUUUGGGUUUCUUUCUCUUAACGACAAUGGAGGAUGAUGUUCUCCAGAUCUUGCAAGGGUUUAUUGACAGAAACUUGGGAUGGGAAGUAACAGGUCCAGAGGGUGGAUGUGGUCCACCAGUCCUCUCUGUCAAGCCUGCAAGACUAUCCCCAGGCCACCUGCCUUCCUUGGAUUGAUUCACACCCUUGGAGAAAUAUGUGUGUGUGUGUGUGAGAAGUGUGUGCUCAGAAUUUUGCAUGGAUAGAAUGCAGCCUACUGCACAAGUGUAAGACACUCUAAUUGCCCUGUCCACUUUCCCCCUCCAGCCCCACCCACAUUCAUGCAGCCCCUGGAAGGUUACCCACAAAGGAAUGUGGUCCUUAGACAAACUGUCAUGAUCCCUGAAUCUAGCAUCAAUGCAGACACAGAGCUGGAGGUUGCAGGGACACCAGCUAAAGAGCAAGAUCAAGUUCAGGACUCUGAGCCAGCUGCUGGAGAUCAGGAGAGCACUGUGCCUGAGGCUCUUUGACAGGAACCACAGGAAGAAUCUCCUGGACGACCAGAACCUGUGGGGUCAGAUCUUUGCAAGUUCCUGGCCUGGAGCUUGUGCAUUGCCCUUUGUCCAUGGGGAGCACUUACUGCGGUAUUAGAAGCUCAGCAAGGGUGUACUCAGGUUGUUGACUGUUAUGUACUGAGUUGAAUAGGAUCGAAAAUGCAGCAGUCUGAUUGGUCCUAGAACAAUGCAGCAGUCUGAUUGGUCCGCAGGAGCCACCCAAUCCAGCUCCAGGUGGAAGUGAAUCCACAACCUGAUUGGCCUACAGGAGAAUCCCGGAAUCAGCCAGUCACAUGCAGCCCAUUCCAUUGUGUAAAUAAUGUAUGUAACGCAGAUAUUGUGGGGGAACUUCCAUUCCUCCUCACCACUAUGAGCUGAAUAAAGAGCAUGAAAUCCACUCUCAGUUCCGAGUAUAUUUCAUUGACCUAACAAGGAUCCAGGUGAGACUUACAGGCUUAUAGCUCACUGCCAGCUCCUCUUCUUCCUGUUUUUCUGCUACAAUGAUCUUACCCCUUCUCCCAUGCACAGUCUUCAGUUUGAUGAACCUUCUGAGGAUAAAGCCUUCUUUCCGUCAAAAGGGUCUCCUUCACAGGCUCUGGGUUUCCCACCAGGUCCACUGCCACCUUUACCCUUGAGGUCCAGGGGACAAAAGGAAAGAUCAGCUGUCAAGGGUUAGUGGGUGCCCGAGGGCAGCUUUGCUUGAGAUGAGGCAUGUCAGGCUGCCUUGGGACUGUUGUAGGAUCUUCCAGCUUCUCAGAAGUAGAAGUAAAGGAUAUCUUGGAGGGGAGGUGAACUUAAAAUGGAACUCAUCCCUUUAAAAAAUGAACUCUCCUGCCACAGAGAUAUCUCAUUAAGCAUGUGAUUUGCCAUUGUGUGCUUGGAAGCCAGUGUGGUGUAGUGGUUAAGAGCGGUAGUCUCAUAAUCUGGGGAACCAGGUUCGCGUCUCUGCUCCUCCACAUGCAGCUCCUGGGUGACCUUGGCCUAGUCACACUUCUCUGAAGUCUCUCAGCCCCACUCACCCCACAGAGUGUUUGUUGUGGGGGAGGAAGGGAAAGGAGAAUGUUAGCCACUUUGAGACUCCUGAAGGGGAGUGAAAGGCGGGAUAUCAAAUCCAAACUACUCUUCUUCUUCUUCUUCUUCUUCUUCUUCUUCUUCUUCUUCCUCUUCUUCGUUUUUAUUCCCUAAGUAAUAGCUGGAGGAGUAUUCCACAUUGGGAUCAGGGCAUCGUGGCAGAUGGGAGGAAUAGGGACUUAAGAGUCACAAUUUGGCCUGAGCCUCCCUUUCUGCAGCCACUUUGUCUCCUUGGGGUGCAGCUGUCAUCGGUGAAAUUAGCCAUUCUGAAGGAACUGGUCCAAACUGAGGCCAUGAUGAGGCAGAGGGUUAAAUUCCUCCCCAGUCCAAACCACAGACCAAAUUUAAGUUUGUCUUUUUAGCUCUGGAACACAGAUAAAGUUCUUUAUAAUGUCUAGCACAGUGUUAAAUAUCAGUAGGACACCUCUAACAGUUGAUGACAGGUUACUAGAUUUUAUAUUUCACUCUUUGUUACUUUUCUAGCAAAACGUUGCGCUUUUAGAUUUGGAUUCAUGUAGGAUUUGAUACUAUGAAUUUUACCAUACUUGGGAUUUCACAGUGUUUUAGGUGUGUUAUCCUCCCACAUCACUCUCCACUGCUAACUUUCUCAGCUGGAUUCCAGUAUCAGAUUGCUUUGGGGUAGGGGGGAAUAAAAGGCAUAAAGUGUGUGAUGAAAUAGUUUUAGCAAUUUGCUCCAUCCCCUUGUUUUUGUAGUGCACAUUAUAUAAUGUAUAUAUUACACAUUGCUAGAGUAUGGAUUUCUUUAAUAUAACUAUUAUGCAAUGAAUGCAAACAUCUGGUUUAUGGUCUCCUUUUCAGCAAGGAUUUGUAGGACUGGGCAGUUUUUCUAUUGCUCUCUUUUGUUCUGUUUGCAUUUUGCUUGUUACACAAGUGACAGUCAAUUUAUAUCCUUAGUUGCUAAAAUUUGGGAGGACGUAUUGCAGCCUGUGCCCUGAGACAUCCCCCUCUCUGUUUAGUAGCCUUGGUGUAUCCCUCCCACAUUCUCUGUUUAGAAUCCCCACGACCCACCACACAGAGGCAAAUAAUGCACCCACACACUAUACAAGCAGGGAUGAGUGGAAUUAGAUGGUUUCACUUUGUGGCGUUUGGGCAGAGAGGAAAAUAGAAUCCUGCUGCCCUGCCCAAACUCCAGAGUGGCUUAUAGAAUAUGGAAUCUGGUCUCUGUCAUUGACUCAGCAUCUAUGCAGGAGCAUUUUCCUGAACACUUGCUGGAUGCAAAGGUUCUAGCAGUACACCAGGCAUGAAGAACAAUUUUCAGUCCAAGGGCUGCAUUUUCUAACAUGAAAAUUGUGAAUGGGGCCAGAGACAAAAGGUGGGUGGAGCAAUGGAUGUGACUGCAUAGUAGGUUACAUUUUAGCCAAACUAAAGUCAGAGAUCUAUGCAGUUCACAGGACUUGAGAAGGACAUGAAACAAGGUAAGUGUAGGGUAUGGACUAGAAAGAAGGGGAGUGGUUCUGAGGCCAUGACAGAGGAGCCCAGAGUGCUUCAUUUGACCCCUGAGCCGGAGCUUCCCUACCCCUACAUUAGACCCUACAUGCUGGUGGCCAUGCUGCAAUAGAGUGAGAGGACCAUAGUCUACCAUCCCUUCACUGUGCACACAUUUUCCCGCCUGUAAUGCAGAGAGCACUCCAUGUCCCAGGAUGAGGUCUCUGAUCCAACCAGAUGGUAAGGUUGCUGGUGCAGCCCAGGUGGCUGCAAUAGAUUUCCCUCAUCCAUCUUGAAGGUUAACUGCAAGCAGAUGACAAUAGUGAGGUUGUAGGAGUAGGAGAAGCAGUAGGUCAAGGAAGCUCUUGGUGGUUUCCUCACCACCACAGCUAUUUCAUGGACCUCAGUAUAUACCCAACUAUGCCAACCUCUGUAGCUAGCCCUAACUGGAAAUGUGGAGGGUUUUCCAUUUCCACUUGGGUAUGAUGCCUGCCUGUAAAAAAGCCUUUUACAAUCGCUAUCUUGUUAGGCUUCAGAAGCAGCACGUUACUAGGAGUAAACAAGAUGCAAGUCCACCUUUAUUCGGCUUAGUCCUGCCCACACUUGGGCUCCAAAUAAAGAUUUCUAUAAAAUAAUGAUUCCAUUCAACUAAAUUACGCAGAGCGCAUUGAGUGACCUUUUCCAAUUUCCAAUUACAAACCUGUCCAUUUCUAGAGUGUUUUCAUUUACUUUUCCUAUCCUUAGCUUCUCUUUGUCAAUCAAUUAAAAGACCUGUUCCUUUGUUUCAGGCUCUAAAUUAACUGUAAUGUUUACCAGGUUUCAUUCAGACCUUGUGCGUUCUUUUGCUCAUGGUAAAUUGUACAUUCAGACUCAAGUUUUCCUGCCAUGCCAAACUUAGAUUAUAUAUAUUUUUAAACACACACACACACACACACACACACACACCCUGCUCCCUCUUUUUGUCUCACUCAAAGUAAUGAAAUCCAAAUCAGCAGCUACAUCUACAAUACUGUCAAGCUGUGUUUGAGCCAUGGCACAGAUGAAUGCUUGCUAGUCUCACUACAAGAUGAACUAAUAUUUGGAGUUCCCUCAGAAUCUGCUGUUAGUCCAUCUCAUCAAGUGUCAUCUCUUUCAAGGGGGAACUCUGCAGCAGCAGAACAGCUCCUCCAGCCUUCCAGCAUUAGGUUGUCUUAUUUUUUUUAUUGUUGGAUAGAAGCUAUGAUUACUGUCUGAGAAAAUGUCAUCCUUUCUGCUGUGAAUCAGCACAGAAAUGGUGUGGCACCUGAAAGGUCCUACUUAUUAGAUGACUGGGAGAACUGAAAGGGAGAAGCUGAGGUUCAGGGGAAUCUUUUAUCAUCUCCAAGAGCAGCACACAUGAAUGCAAUGCAUAGCCGAAGAUCUACAUUUCGGAAUACAAUGAAAAUGGGACAAUGGAUGACAUCCAGCAUUAGGCAUACACAGAGUAGAGCCGUUGAGUCUGCCCUGAGUGAGAUUUAGUUGGAAUCACCCACUAUCUUGCCCACACAUUGUAACUCUGUUUAAUGUACCAUGUACCUGGGGAGACAAAUAAGCAGAACUUCAGAUCAAACAUAAAAUAAGAAAAGAUAUCUGGAAGUUUCUAGGGUGGUGGCAACCUACCUGAAUGUGACUUCAGGAUGUGUGCAUAAAUCAUAAUGUAUGCCAUUUUUGCACUGUCCAAAAGAGGGACUAUAUAUUUCCACUGUGGUGAAACGCAGCCACAUAGGUAAUUCAAAUAUUUAUCAGUGGAAAGUCGUGCAUGCUUCUCCCUAAUUUGGGUGCAAACAGGAGGUGGUGAUUGUUGCAUCCUUCAGUGUUUCAAGCCACCCUGAAUUUAAUGUAUAGCAGUAGAACAUUUUUUGAGGGGAGCAAUAUUAAAUGGAUUGCAAAUAGCAUAGCUUUGCUCGGAGCAAUGAGAAUACUGCCAAACGUAGGGGGGUGGAGAUAAACAUUCAGUGUGAACAAAAAUAUUGUAAAGUCUAUGCUUGUAUCUCCAGAACACUUCUGACCUCACCAGGUAUCUUGUAGCAACCCAUUUGGUGGUGGUGGGGAGAUCAUUCUGUGUCUAAUUUGUUAAUUGCUGAAUCGGAAAUGAUCAACUCACAUCUCACAAUUGUAAAAAUGCACCUUCACUUGUGAUCAGAAAGGUUUAAAUAAAUGUUUCAGUGGUAUAAAGGUUUAAAGGGAAGAAUGAAGUUUCAGGCUGUAGGCAAAGGGAGUAUAGUGGUGAACCCGAAUCUACAGACUGGAAUUAAUUGUCCUUUAAAGAAGUAAUAAAUGAGAAUUGAUGAAACAACAGUAUGGGAAUGAACAUAAUGGAGCGUUGACAUGUUGGUGCAUCUGUCUUCCCAAUCUAAAGAAGGAUGUCUGCAUUGAUUUAGCAGAUCUUCCUUGGUUUACGUAAGUGCAAGUCUGAUGUUUAAUUCAGAAGGAAGAAGAAUGCUAAUUUGUGCAAAUUUUGUCACUGUGUACUGUUUGCUUGGUUUUUAAAAACACACAGACACACACAUCAGCAAGAGCCAAUUAAGUAUUCCCUGGGAGGAAAAUAAUUACAUGUUUUUCUUCAUUUAAAAAUAAACUGUAGCUUACGCCUGCAUUUUGGUAUGUACUGUAGUUCUCAAACAAAGGAAUUUCAACAAAUGAAGCAUUUUUUUCUGAGUGUCAGCACUUUGACACUUGCCCUACCUAGUUUGCUUUCCAAAUUCAUCCCCAGUUCUGCUAAUAUAAUGACUACUUUGCACUUCUACAUUCUUUGCCUUACAAUGUUUCUUUGAGAUCUGGUUCUGGUUGGAGUUAGAGAUGGAGAAAUGCCUUCUCUGCUAAUGAUUAAUUACAUCUUGAUUUGCUACCUGCAUUUUCCUGGCUAUCUUUCUUCUGGUAUCAAAGUGAACUGAAAUUUCAACCAUUUCUCUGGACAAAACCUAAUUAUCUAUAAUACAAUUACCACGCUGCAUCCUCACCACCUUCAUUGUAAGAGCGCUAGACCCAGCCAGAGAACUGUAAGCCCAAGCCUAAAAACAAAAUCUAUUUUUAUGUUUUGCUCUGAAUACCAGCUCUGGAUGAAUAAGAGAUGACUCCAGAAGCAUUUUAAGCAAAUGAUAGGUCCCAAAAGGUAUAAUUUCAUCUGCUCUGUGUCCAGCAUUUUGAAUAGGAUUCUUCUUUAUAAUUACCAUAGCAAUUGGAUUGAUUUUAUGAUUUGAGACUUCACUAUUUAAUAUUCUGUAUCAGGAAAAGCAAAGAUUUUUCAAGGAACAAUUGCACAUCUCCAGUCUUGAAGCUUUAUGCCUUUGUUCUCUCCAAUGCAAUCCUUUAUUGCAAAGCUGCCUUUCCCCCCUGUUCAUUUGAUCUUAUUCUGACACUUUUUCUUUUUUUUUUUACGAGUGGGUAGCCACUGGACACUUGCUAUUACCACAGUUGUGAAGUGUUGACUCUCAGGUUUGAAAUGAAUGCAUUAACUCCUGUUGCAAGCUCAUUUCUCUCUCUUUCUCUUUGAAUCUUUUGUGGCAUCUCUGUGACAAACAGUAACAUGCUCUGCUAUUGUGAGGGCAGAGUGAAGCAACACAGUGGGAAGCUUGGAAAAAUAUUGUGGAAUUAAUUUUUAUUUCUAAAGACCUUUUAACUGGCACUCUGCACCCAGAAUCCAUAAGUACAUAUUGAUCAAUUUCUGUUCCAUAACCCAUUAGUAUGGCCUCAGUUCUGUGCUUUAUGGAUUAUAUUUUUUAAAAAGUAUGAAAGAUCACCUUUAAAUUGUACACAUUUUGUAUUUAUUUUAUUAAGUUAUAAAUUUCCUUUUACAUUCAUCUCAGUGUGUAUGAUUUUUUUCUUAAGAAAGUACAACCAUACCUUGGUUGCUGAACGCCUUGGAACUCGUACGUUUCGGCUCCCAAUAGAUCGAAAACCGGAAGUGAGUGUUCCAGUUUUCGAAUGAUUUUUGGAAGCUGAAUGUCCGGCAUGGCUUCCGUGGCUUCUGAUUGGCUGCAGGACGCUCCUGCAGCCAAUCAGAAGCCAAGUCUUCAUUUUUGAACAGUUCUGGAAGUUGAACGGACUCUCAGAAAGCAUUCUGUUCGAGAACCAAGGUAUGACUGUAUAGAAAACAACUAAAGACAGGUUUAAACCAAAGGAAAAUACCUUUUCAUCCAAUUGGAAAAGAUUAUUGAAUCAAAAAUGUUUUCAGUUGUUUCUGGAAAGUACACAGUGUGGACACCUGUUGUAUCUUGAUGGAGAUACUUUUCCAUAGAAAUAGGGGUGCAACCCUGGAAGCCCAGCCCUGAGUUUCUGUGGCUUCUAAUAUUAUGGAGAGGUGAAACUUACCUGAAAACACAGGUUUCCCUUAUAUUCCUACUGGGAAUAUAAGGGAUAAAACAGACUCACUGUAUCCAUUUAACAUGCAUUCUUCUCCCUUAAAUACAUGUUCUUGUAUGCUUUGCAGUGUAUUUCCACCUAAAAUGUACAUUUUUGAGCUGAACACAAAAACUAAAUAGAGCCUGCUGGAUUAGGCCAAUUACCCAUCUCGUCCCCCUUGCUGGCAGAUGGCAUUAUCCCUGCUCCCACAAUCCCAAUCUUUUUUGGAAAUUUACACUCUUCCUCCCCCCAUCCUCACUCCAUUCUUACCAGGGAGAACCGCUACAGCUAUCAUUCUGAAAUAUGGCAGGCUUCGUACGCUUAGAAGGGGCUGCCAUGCCUGUAAACUGAAUCUAAUGCUGGCAGAAAAUAAAGAUGCUUUAAAACAAAUUGAUUUUAAAGGCGUCCCUGGAUGAAAACACCUGUAUGUCUCUGCCUACAAUUUGGCAGCCUGGAUCCACUCUGGAUGGCCAUGUGUGCCUGUAAAUGCCAUCUACUUUGAAAAAGGGAAAACAACAUUUUUAGAUUCCCCAUUAUAGUGAAUGGGGGGGGAAAUAUCCUAGUCAAGAUAGAUUCAUUAUUAUGAUCUUCCCUGUGCUUUCAGUUCAUUAGCAAUUUCCUAUUUAGACACAGUUGUGAGAGUCUCUGCAUUGCUUUUGGAUCUGAUUUGUUUGCAGUUUCAUCCGGUACUAUAAAAAGAAGUACUGGUGCCUUUUUAUUCAUUGCAAAGUUUCACAUAUGCUUGGCCUUUAUAGUGGCAGGCCACGGGGAGAUAAUGUAUUCUCUUCUAAGAGCAUUUUAAACACAUUGGCUCACAAUUUAUUUUGUCCUCUGACACCAAGACAUCGCAACACAUCCCAUUUUCACUUCUGCUUUUCUUUCCCCAGAAAGCUCUCUCUGUGCUUGAGUGAGCUGCAUAAACUUCAUUCCCCCAAAUGGCUGGAAUUUGCAAUCUCUUCACAUCAUCAUGCUGUUAAAUGAUUUCAAUACGCAUUCUUACUGGGACAUCCAACUUCCUAUGCCUGGAUGCAAUGGAGAAAUACAACCAUACAUCUAGUUAAAUAGAAAUCUAUGCUUAAGCCUUUGAAACAGAUACACAUAAAUGCUUGAGGACAUUACCAACUUUAAUUGUACAAGUGGUAUGUGACAGCCUGCUAUUUUGCAGCUCCGAGAGAGACGUUUUUGUACUCUAGACAUGACAAAAUCCUGCCCGGCUCUAUAGCUUAUUUUCCACCUUUUGAAUAUUUGACAAUUUAUCACUGCUUAUUUGCAUUCAAGAGAUGCCUUUUUUUUACCACUGAGGCAAAACCAGGGUAUUAAUUGGGAUUUUUAUUUUUGCCGCAUGUAGAUGUCUACUCUAAAUAAGGGGGGGGGCUGGUGCUUGGAGGAGAAUAUAGGUCAAUAUCUUUGGUGAAAACGCUGAGGUCAUGAGGGGGAGAGAAAUAAAAUGAAUUUGAUGUAGGGAAUUAGAAACGGCCAGCCAUAGUUUGGCUUUUGACAUUUUGCUACAUGUGGAUUUCAAACAAAAAAGUGGGCAUACAUAGCUAUUCUAAAAAUAAGAUAAAUACUUUUUAAAAGACAAUACUCUAAUGACGAUGAGAAAAGUCGAUUUAGAUCAUCUGUACAUGAGCUGUGUGAAUAAGCAGCACAUUCUAACUUGACAGAGCAAAUACAGUGUUACCUCGGGUUACAGAUGCUUCAGGUUACUUACGCUUCAGGUUACAGACUCUGCUAACCCAGAAACAGUGGUUCAAGUUAAGAACUUUGCUUCAGGAUGAGAACUGAAAUAAUGCUCUGGCGGCACGGCAGCAGCGGGAGGCCCCAUUAGCUAAAGUGGCGCUUCAGGUUAAGAACAGUUUCAGGUUAAGUAUGGACCUCCGGAACGAAUUAAGUACUUAACCCGAGGUACCACUGUAUAGAAUGCCUCUGGAUGCUGUCUCCAUGUGCUUGUUCCAUGCCGGGAAAUGACUGUAUGUAGAAGCUCACAAGUGGCUCUACCAUGUGAUUUGUACCUUUGCAAGUAAGGAUUAUUUGGCAGCAGCCUGGAAAUAAUCCUCACAAAGCAGUGGCAAGUCUAUCUGCCAUGAAGACUGGUCUAUUAGGGCAGAGGGGGGACCACCUUCAAUCACCUCCACCUGCCUGCCUGCCUUCUUCCUCACACCCAGUCCUGGGAGUGGCAUUGCCUGUCAGUUUCCUUCUCCUUAGUCUCAUUGUUGCCCCUUAUAGAACUCAGCAGGGAGGCGGAUGGGGACAAAAUUAGAAUUCAGUUGGCUCUGCUUGUCAUUGGCUCUAAUUCCACCUACAAUUGCAUCACAUUCACACCAUUCAUUUAAAGAAUAGUGAUACCGCUUUUGCUAGUCAUGGUUUCACGUAAAGAAUUCUUGGAGCUAUAGCUUGUUAAGGGUGCUAAAAGUUGUUAGGUAAAGGUAAAGGGACCCCUGACCAUUAGGUCCAGUCGUGACCGACUCUGGGGUUGCGGCACUCAUCUCACUUUAUUGGCCAAGGGAGCCGGUGUACAGCUUCCGGGUCAUGUGGCCAGCAUGACUAAACUGCUUCUGGCAAACCAGAGCAGCUCACGGAAACGCCGUUUACCUUCCCGCCGGAGCGGUACCUAUUUAUCUACUUGCACUCUGACGUGCUUUCGAACAGCUAGGUUGGCAGGAGCAGGGACCGAGGAACGGGAGCUCACCCCGUCACAGGGAUUCGAACCGCUGACCUUCUGAUCGGCAAGCCCUAGGCUCUGUGGCUUAACCCACAGUGCCACCCGUGUCCCCACAGCACCACCCGCGUCCCUAAGAGUUGUUAAGAGACCCCCUAUUCCCUUUGCAGCACUAGUUUCCAGAGUGGUUCAACAAUCGAUCCCACUUCCCAGGGAGCAGUUUAGGAUUUUUCCCUUUUUAAUAAAAACCUGCAAGCCUUAGUUUUUCAACUGUCCAAGAAUUGUGAGUGUUGAAGUUUGGUGAGUGUGUUAACAUGGCUGCUCGCAGUGUGCACAGAUGCAAAUGCCUGCAGGUGUAACCCAACAGAAUUGAGUUAGUCAUUCAAUUUAUUUUACAGGAUUGGUUCCAGAAUCAAUUGCACACUGGCCAAUGACCAUGUUUCGAAAAAAUAAGCACAGGUAGGUUUCCUCCUGCAAGCUAUGCACACCAUAUGUGAGUGUGGGUCUUGACAUUUCAUAGCCUAAAAUAGGAAAUGCUUGCAUUUUUUAUAUUUGAUGUCCUGGUUAUUAUGUAUUUUGUAUUAUUUAUGUACUUUGGAAGGCAUGAAUGUGCCUUAAAUACAUGAUGUGUAUGCAGCCUUACUUUCUUUUUGUUAAUCCAGUAAAAUAAGAGCAGAUUAUGAGUUGUCUUUGUGUGUUUCUGAAAAGAUAUAACAAGAGUAUUAUUACUUUAUAUAUACUUCCAUAUUCAUAGCCUAGCAUGCUCCUAGCAAAUACAAACUAUUUAAUUAGGUUCCCCCCCUUUCCUUUAGCAAAUAUUAAGCUACUUCUUCAGGCAUUUGAUAAUAUAUGAGGAUUUGUCAGUCACUUUAGAUCACUCGCAUGCAAUGAGCAGUCUUUUUCCUGCAGCAGCUGAGCUUCCUAUGGGCGCCUUCAGCAAUGCUUAGACAUUUCAAAUGUGGUGGCAAACUGCAUUUCACAUUACUGUGAAAAGCUUCUUAUGAAAUGCAUGAAAUCAGCAAAAUAAACUGGGCUCUGGUGGUUUUCGGUUAAUUUAAGGUGGUAUUGGGUGCAUUUCUCUCUCAUUCACCCUGUUCAGUUAUUUUGGUCCAUCCUAGAUGGCAAUGUGCACUCUAGUCAUAGCCCCAGUGUAUACCCAAUAAAUGCAUCAUGGGGACUUUGCACAUAAUUGAUAUAUGCAGAAAGGGACCCCCAACAGGGAGGGAAUCUUGAAGGGAGCAUUUAACAGAGAGACAUUUAGAAUCUUUUUAUUACUGCAGGUGGAUGUUGCCAUAUUACUUGGAAUACUUGUGGUAGUGACUCCAUUUUGAAUUAUAACAUCUGUGUUAACAUCAAAUACUAACUGUGCAUUAAGAAUAGAACUUGGACACUUUUAAUUCUCAGAGGUUGCAAUUGUACAGUCAAUAUAACAACAACAACAACAACAACAACAACAACAACUACAACAACAUAUUAUUUAUACCCCACCCAUCUGGCUGGGUUUGCCCAGCCACUCUGGACGGCUUCCAACAAAAUAUUAAAAUACAAUAGUCCUUCAGAUAUUAAAAGCUUCCCCAAACAGGGCUGCCUUCAGAUGUCUCCUAAAUGUCUGGUAGUUGUUUAUUUCUUUGACAUCUGAUGGGAGGUCAUUCCACAGGGAGGGCACCAGUACUGAAAAGGCCCUCUGCCUGGUUCCCUGUAACUUCGCAGAACCUUUUACUUGCUUUACAGUUUCUAAUUUUAAAAAAUGCAAACAAAAAGAAAGAAAUAGGAAUGGUUUGAAAUCUGGAAUAUACUGGAAUGCGAAAACCUAUCUUGAAAAGUUUGGGGAAUAGUGCGAGCAAAGUCAAAGGCAAUGCUCCAAAUGAUCUAAAUAGAACGGGAGGCAGGGCAUCUAGCAGAUUUUUUGAAAGUGUUACAAAAAGCAACAUCUUAAUACCAUAGUUAAUUUAAAUUGUUUCUAACAUCUUCUCAUCCACGAAGCUCCCAGUCCCACUCAAUAAUUUACAAAUUGCAAUCCGCACUAGUUCUAUCUGUCCAAUUUCAUUUGUGUCUGGUUUGUGAUUGCCACUUACUUUCUUCUCCAACCUUUCAUCUUUUCACUUUGAAAGUGUCGCUCUCGGCGCUGUGUUUGUUGCUCCAAUUCAGUUUUCCAGGAACAAAUGUUGGUACUUAACAAGAGGACAAUUCACACUUUCCCCACAGAUUGGCUAUAUUUCUAAGCCAUUUUCAACAUUGUGAAAUCUUAAGAAGAUUGAGGAGCAACUGAGAGAUUUAUACUCAUUCCAACAUAAAUUCAAAUGCACAUGAAGUUUAUUUCAUUUUACAUAUUUAUUUCAUUUAUUUCCCACCUCUCCAAGGAGCUUGAGGUGGCAUACCUAGUUCUCCCUCAGCUGCUUUAUUCCCCACAGCAACCCUGUGAGGCAGGUUAGGCUGAGAGGUAGUGACUGGCCCUAGGUCACCCAGUGAGCUUCAUAACUACAUGGGGAUUUGAACCCUGGUUUCCCAGGUACUAGUCCAGGACUCUAACCUCUGAACCACUGUGGCUCCCUUGUUGUCUGGGGUGGGUGAGCAUGGAGUACAGCUGCUGUCCUACCAUGCAAUCAGUAGUGUGUUUGUGCAGUUCUUCAGAUAAAAAUCAUUUAGAGGUUCAUCAGCAAAACAAUAUUAAAAGCAUAAGAAUCUGCAGCAGAUAUACAGUAUCAGAUUAAAACUAUAUAGAACUCAACACACACACACUCACGCAACAUAGCAAUAACACAAGCGAAACAAACCAAAACUUGGAAUACAGAUUAUCAGUUUGUUGAUGACAUUUGGUUUAGUUAAAGUACACCUGCAGAUACAUCAGUGUUGGAUUAGGCCUCUCCACAAUGACACAUGUGACAUAGGUGGAUGUAGUAACCUAAAUAAUAUUUAGGUGGCACUGUCAAAGAUGUUGUAGGAGCUCUUAAUUAGCACUACUGUUACAAGGAACUGGGUAUGUGAGGAAGUGCUAAAUGGCAGCCACCAAUUAGUAGCUAUCAAGAGGAGAUCCUUCAGCACCUGCAUAUAAAUUUAAAUUUAAAAGAGGGGAGCUAGAUGCAAUGGGAAACCUGCCUCCUGAUGAAUUCUCCACAUACAAAACCUCCCACCCUCCAAAAUGGCCCCAGGUUUUCGGCUUGUUUCCCCUGUUCAGUUUGAGCUGGAAGUUUAUGCCUAGAAAAUUCAAACUCAUUACUAAUACAGGCACGCUCAGUUGAACAUUGUAUCCUGUUUUUUUUAAAAAAAAUGAAAAUGGCAAGGAUGACAACAGAAAACCCUUUCAUGGAACAAUCACCCUGACCACAGGGUAUAAAAUCAUACUCUGCUAUAAACUUGGUAGUUGUAUUAAUGGUUAUUUAUGCUGUGCUACAAAAUAUUAUGAUAGUCAGUAAAUUAUCAGUCAAACAAUAAAAGGAAUGUAUUUAUGUAAAGGGUUUUUUUAUUGACACUUUUAAAUGCCAAAUCGUAGUCCUGAUGGAGUGAAAUGUUAUGCUAAUAAAGUAACCGGAAAGGGUGAAGCCCACAAAGUUAAAUAUUGUGCUAAAACGGACUCUGUAGAAUAAAUGAAAAAUGAGUUUUGCCUGUUGGCAAGGAUUUAUCCACACCAGGGUGUUUUAGGUUUGAGGGGUUUGGGGCAAAGUGACCUCUGGUGACCUCUGUCCUCGACUCCUUGGGAAUUUCUUGGUGGCAACUAUCAGAAGAUAAUGGAGUCUAGUGGAUGUUAAGCCAUGGGGGUAAGGCUCAGUUGCUCUCCUGGCUUCCCAAAACAGUGGGUCAGACACUCCUGCCACAUGUGUCAGGGAUUGGACUCAAGAGGGCAAGAUGGAGGAGGAAUGGUGGAGAUAACCUCCCCUCUUCUCCUGACGCUGCAGGAGAAGAGGAAUGCAGCAUUGAAUUACAUUGAAUUCAGGAGUUUGAAGAAGAUCACAGCUCAGAUAGGCGAACAGAAGAGUUGGGAAGUGUUAGCAGAAAGGGAAGGGGAGACAGAAGCAGAGCAGCCAGCUGACACAUCUUCUUCAAUAGUAGUAGUAGUCGUAGUAAUUUAUUAUUUAUACCCCGCCUAUCUGGCUGGGUUUCCCCAGCCACUCUGGCCAGCUUCCAACAAAAUAUUAAAAUAUAAUAGUGCAUCAAACAUUAAAAGCUUCCCUAAACAGGGCUGCCUUCAGAUGUCUUCUAAAAGUCUGGUAGUUGUUUUUCUCUUUGACAUCUGGUGGGAGGGCGUUCCACAGGGUGGGUGCCACCACCGAUAAGGCCCUCUUCCUGGUUCCCUGUAACUUGGCUUCUCGCAGUGAGGGAACCACCAGAAGGCCCUCUGCGCUGGACCUCAGUGUUCAGGCAGAACAAUGUGGGUGGAGACACUCCUUCUGGUAUACUGGACUCAUUGUUCGUUAACAGGAACAAAGGAUUCAGAGACAAUUGACCAUGAGCAGCCACCGUAAAGGGAGGUACUGUUGUUAGGGAGGAGGGAGGAGGAGACCAGUUGGAGCAACAACAUUGUCAGGGCUUGAUGUGUUCUUUUGUCUCUCGCUAUUAUGAAUGUAUAAACUCAUUAAAAAGGACUCUAGCUUGCUUUCUGGUUUUCUGCAACCAGGGGAGGAAUAGUUUUCCCUAAGUCUCGACAACAUGCUACACAGCACCCAGCUCCCUGCACCUUUCACCUCCCUUCUCCUUCUUGGUAAGUGCCAGAAGCCUAUUGGGCUGGGAAGCAGCACAGCAAUGGUGCCCCGUCCUCACUAGUCACCACUGGUGUAGCCCAAUGGUGAGAUGAUUUAUAGAAUGAAAGGAACGACAUGCACAAACAGUCCUCAUCUAACUUAAAAGUAAAGGAAGUGCUGCUGCAACAACAACCCCAUUAUAAUUUUCUCUCAUCUUUCAUAAUGUUUGAAUGCAUUUUUUUCUCUCAUCAAUUGACAGGCAAUAGUUGGGGGGACAGAGUGCAGGAGAAUUCUUCAGCACAGUACUAAUUUAAUGUUGUUGUUUCACCAACACUUGCAGCAUUAGCACGCCAGAGAUCUGUGGUUCAGGCAGACACCCCACUGGUAUAGUUGCUGAGAGCCAACUUUAAAUGAGAAUGCCGGCAUGUGGUAUACUGCAUGGGUAGGGUUCCCCCUCCCCCCUUUUCUCCUUCUCUUCUCGCUUGCCUGGCAUCAUUUUGAAAUUGGGCUUGCGAUAGACUUUACAUAGUACACUAGGGAUGUGUAAUGUUAAACAUUAGGGGAGUAUAAUUGGAUGAAAAUGUAUUAAAUUGCUACUGUUUGGAGUUUGCAUCACUGAAUAGCAACAAACAAAGGCUGAAAAUGACGGAUUAGUAGGAGUAGCUUGCUGUGUUUACCAUGAAUUCCCAGCUGGACUGUGCAAGCUUUGAAAAGUGAAUUGGAGUUGGUGUUGCAUGAAGUUUUUAUUUAUUUAAUUACUUUAAAAGAAUAUUUAUUUAUUGUUGUUCCACUGCUAUCCAUUGAAUUUCAUGGCUGAAUCAGAACUUGGAUCCAGAUCUAUUUGGUCGAGAGCCAGCACACAACCAGUUCCAUGACACUUUGCUGUCGAGUGUUACAACAAAAUAUUGGUCUUCUUGUUCAGUGUACUGGUGCCUUUACUUAAAUCUGCAAAGGAAGGUCUUCUGCGUUUUUCAAGAUGGAACUGGCACUAGGAUGAUGGCUGCACCAUACAGAGGUCCAGGUAUCAUUCAAUUCAGCAAAAUAAUUCGAAGAUAUACAAGAGUGUGUGUGCGUGUGCGCACGCAAGCACUAAUUUAGGGGGGAACGACACAGGUGUACAUAAUGUGAUGUGCUUCAACCUUCUAGUACAGUGUUAUUCAAUCUUGGGUCUCCAGCUGACUUUGUAGAAGACAUCUUAAGGCAGCCCUGAUUAGGGAAGUUUUAUCAUGAUGUUUUAUCGUGUUUUUAAUAUUCUGUUGGGAAUCGCCCAGAGUGGCUGGGAAAACCCAGCCAGAUGGGCGGGCUAUUAUUAUUAUUAUUAUUACUACUACUAUUGGCCAAUGGUGAGGGAUGGUGGGAGUUGGGGUCCAAAAACAGCUGGGGGAACCCAGGAUGUACAACUAGUGCAAAAAUAAGGAUAUAGAAAAAAAUGUCUCCUGAAAAUCUCCCCAAGCUACAAAUGAAAGAAUGACAAGAAAUUAGGAGUGGGGAUUUUUAUUUAGGCAAAGUACAUAACAGCAGUUUAAACCACAGAGACUAGGGCUUGCUGAUCAGAAGGUCAGCGGUUUUGAAUCCCGUUGCUUGGUCCCAGGUCCUGCCAACUUAGCAGUUCGAAAGCACAUCAAAGUGCAAGUAGAUAAAUAGGUACCGCUCCGGCGGGAAGGUAAAUCGCGUUUCUGUGUGCUGCUCUGGUUCGCCAGAAGCGGCUUAAUCAUGCUGGCCACAUGCCCUGGAAGCUGUACGCCGGCUCCCUCAGCCAGUAAAGCGAGAUGAGUGCCACAACCCCAGAGUCAUUCGCAACUGGGCCUAACAAUCAGGACUCCCUUUUACCUUUACCUUUACAUAACAGCAGCCAGUUUGCACCUAGAAAGCUACACAAGCCAGAAUCUUUUGUUAAAUCACUCAGCCAUUUAAUAAUGUUCUAGUCAUUAUUAGCAUGAAUGCCUCUUCUCUUGGCUACCCCAUAUGGACUAUCAGAGAUGCAUUUGCCCCUUUUUUGUGUAUCAAAGUGUUGCUUUUAUUCACUCUCACUCCAUGCUUAUUAGCAUCUACAGGAAAUACAAUAAAGGUGAUUGUCUAGAACAGCAGGUUACUCUUUCACAUAGCAAAAAGACAAGUUUCUAUCCAGUUCCCUAAUCACAAUGCAUCAAGCAUCUUUUUUAAAAAGCAGGAAAACAGUGUGAUGAGAGUCAGUUCAGCAUAACUAGCAGAACCAAGCAAAAAUUAUUAAAAAUACUUCUAGCUACACUAUCAUUAUGUGGUUUCAAAAGAAAUCUUUUUGCUGAGGAUUAAUUGCUUUCUGUAACGGGUUUCUCUGUUCAUCCACAUAAUUCUGUUUGUUGCAUGUCUGGUCUGUUGUUAUGCUAAAUAACAGGGUUUUGAAGAUAUCGAACAAGAAACAGCUUAGUGCAUGAUAGUUUGGGGACACAAACAUUUCCAUUGCCCAGAUUUAUUGCGUAAUGAAUUUUGAAUCCCAGACACAUCUGCUGCUUAUUAUUUAUUGUUGCCGUUAAAUAAUUUGAGAGCAUAAGUUACUGGAGGAAUUGUUCAAAGUUAGGGCAAGAUCCCAGAUCAUCGAAAUAAUUAGGAACAUUGCCAAAGUCCACAAGUCUAACUCAGUUUAAAUAGUGUUUUCCGUUAUAUCUACAUUCAACAUUUAAAGGAUUGUAAAUCAUAGGUUUGCCUGACAAACCCUUUGCCAAUACCAGUAUGAAGUGAUCUGGUUCACACUUUCACACUUUUCUGAAUUUCAGGAUGCCUUCACCCCGAAAAUGUGUUUAUAAAUAUGUUAAGAACUGCAUAUUGUGUGACAAAAUAUAUUUUAAAAUAAGUAUUUAAGUGUGAAUUCUCAUGCAGAUGUAACACACAUUAAUGCAGAACUGGAAAGGAACAGACUUAGGAAUGAAAAAAUGUGAAAGUGACGCAGAUGGGAAAUAACUUGAUCCCUUGUAAAACACUAAGCUACUUGAACUGGAAUUCUUGGUAGAUUUUUUAAAAGGGAUUAUAUUUAUUUUAAUCUUUCCCUAUCAAAGAAAAACAAGCAAAAAAUCAACAAGAACUCAAAGCAUAUGCAUUUGGUUACAGCAAACAUAAGAGCAAAACAAGUAGUCAACAGAAAAUCAUAACACGUGCACAAAUCAACACUUAGCGAAGCAAUCAGGGAACCGCCACAGAAGUAAUCAUCUAGCCAAGCAUAAAGAGAAGAAGGAAAAUUAACUCAUUCAACCUAUAACAUCACUCCAUAAAGCCACAUGAGUUGAUGGAGGGGGCCUAUUAUGCUCUUUGACUGAAACAUAUUUAAUAAAACAAAACCAUUUCACAUAAAACUUUUUUUUUCUCCUUGGAGUCUUCCGUUCCCUUAAUUGACAAGGGUCCCCCCACCCCCAUUUAGGGCCACCAACCAAAUCUGAGAAUACCACUCCUCAAAUUAGGUGCUAUUCUGCUAAUUUACCAUUUCAGGAUACCACUAUGCAGGUUGCAAUAUAAAAGGAAACCAAUGCACUCUGAUAAAGUGCCUUUUUGUCUCCAUUAUCUAAAAUGGACAACAGUGCCAGAAGUGGAUCUGGUGACAGCAGCUGCCCCAUAAUCAGUUGGAGCUCAUAGAAAACCUUCUUCCAAAGCUCCUCAAUCACUGUGAAAUGACCUAGUCCUCCACACAACGUCCAACGAUUGGGACUGUACUAUGUGUUAUCCUAUUCAGAGACUGAGGAGUCAGAUAUCACCUAUGAAUUUAAAACAAUUCUCUUUAAAUCUUGCUGAUGAAAUGGAGCUUUCUCCCACACAUUCUCCCAUUUUUUCUGAAUUCCCUUACCACAAUAAGGUACUAGCAGAUUCAGCCAGAAAAAUAAUAAUCCAAAUCUGCAAUUAUCUUAGUUUGCAAAUGAAUGCUGAUUAACAACAACCUUCCUGCAAAGUGUGCCUUUGAUCUGAGAUACCAUAUUUCUCCAGAUAGUUUAGAUUUGCUGCUUUGUCUAAGACCAUUCACUGAACUUUACAAUUUGGAAAGAAUUUGGAAAAUAUCCAGUUCUAAAAGUCUGUCAGCUGCAGCACUGAAGUAAAAGCAGGGGCAGAGCUUAGUAAUAUGGUGCCCUGAGUGAGGGCAAAAUAUCUCUAUUUCUUCUUUUCACAAUAAUUCCUUUUGGAAAAGAGUUUGUUGAAGUGCCCUCCCCCUUCUUGCCUUCUGUUCUGGGCAUGCUUUCAAGUGCACUGUUUGGUCUGAGAAAGUGCCCGCAUUGCCCUAAAUCUGGCACUGUAUAAAGACUCACAUUGUAUUUGGGAAUGGCUACCCGGGUGGUGCUGUGGGUUAAACCACAGAGCCUAGGGCUUGCCGAUCAGAAGGUUGGCGGUUCAAAUCCCCGCGACGGGGUGAGCUCCUGUUGCUUGGUCUCUGUUCCUGCCAACCUAGCAGUUCGAAAGCACGAAGUGCAAGUAGAUAAGUAGGUACCGCUCCAGAGGAAAAGUAAACGACAUUUCCGUGCGCUACUCUGGUUUGCCAGAAGCGGCUUAGUCAUGAUGGCCACAUAACCUGGAAGCUGUACACCAGCUCCCUCAACCAAUAAAGCGAGAUGAGCGCUGCAAUGCCAGAGUCAUCCUCGACUGGACCUAAUGGUCACGGGUCCCUUUACCUUUUACCCAAGUACAAUAAAUAUACACCUUUGAUCAAGUGUGGAAGGAAUGCCUCCGUAUACAAUUGGGCAUGUUCAUUUAAAUAUUCAUAAGCAAAGUCCAUAUUUUUCCAAGUUGCUACUUCAGAGUAUUUUUAAGAGGAGCAUUCCAAAGAUGAUGUCUGUGUGCACAGUUCACAUUUGCAGAGAGCCUCAUUUAUUUUGCGUAUCUAUACUGAAAUAAAAAGUGAAUUGCCCUUAAGUCAUGGAAUAUAUAUCUUUCAAGACGCUUCAGACUACAUCUUUCAAAUCUCUAAAAAUGGUGUAGGCAGUUACUUCCUGCUUCUGAUGUUCAACCUUUCAUCUACUGGUCUCGUAAACAGUCCUACAAGCCUGGCUGAUGAAAAUUAAUAUUUAAGAACACCACUUGUAUCUUGGCAUGUCAGAGGAAUCUGUUGAACAUGGACUACCAAGCAGAUUUUCUUCUAUAUUUUUGUUUGACCCCCAUCACAGCUCAGACUCUUGCUAUGAAUUCUUUUCACCUUAGUUCUCUACAACAGAAGCAUUUUGUUAAACAUACACACAUUGUAUAUAAAUAGAUACACAAACUGCUUUGCAGUGGGUGUUAAACGUGACACACAUACCUGACCAUUUUUUUUGGUAAAGUAUACACAUUUGUGAAAUAAAGUGUUGCAAUAAAAAAGCUGUUUAUGCAGUUAGAUGCGUGAGAGAGGCUGCAAUCCUAUCCCCGCUUACCUGCAAGUAAGCUCCAUGUAAUUGAAUGGGACUUACUUGUGAGUAGACAUGGUUAGAAUUCCAGCCAUAGGUGCCUUUGUAAUAGGCCAUUAGCCACUUCAUUAAUUUUAUCUUUAAAGUGCCACAAGACUCUUUGUUUUGUUAGUACAAAAGACUGUAACAGGGCUACACUUGUAGAAAUGCAUUAACUUUGAAAGGACAAGGAAGGCAAUUGAUUUGUAAAUAUCUAUGGAUGGCUGAGAUGUUUGUCUCUAUUGUGUACUAUGAUAAAUGGAAAAAAAGUACAUCUAUUUCUACAUCAGCAGAUGAUGAAACAGGAAAAAAAAAAUACUUGUGCAAAAUAAACCCAGAGGCUGUUUUAAGGUAGCAACACUGGGCACUGGCACUGCAGGGGACACUGUAUCAAAGAUGUAGAACAGAGUGUGAGAGGCGCCAAAUUUUAGCAUUGCACAGGGUGCCACUGAAACUUGAGAGCCCAAAGUCCACCACUGAUAGACCAAUUGCAAUGGGACAGAAGGCAGUGUGAAUGAAUGUUGGAACAGAUUGAGGCACCUUUCUAUGUUCCUAUUUGCAUCCCAUUGGUUCUUGAUCAUUGAAUCUAAACUUUAUCCUAGAGGAGCACUGAAAUAUACUCAGAGUUAAGUGUUGACAGGCCAAUCAGGUUGCUGAUUCGCUUCCUCCUGGAGCCGGAUUGGGCGGCUCCUGCAGACCAAUCAGGUUGCUGCCUUCUAGGAUCCUACCUGCCUAUUGUUCUAGGAUCCAAGCUCAGUACAUAACAAGCACAAAGAGAAUUGAAAGAGAAAAAAGAGAGGAAUGAGAAGAAACAGAAUACCUUCCAAGUAGGAUAUUGCCUAGGAUAAAACAUUCACAUCUACACCACAAAUAUAAAACUAGUCACAACCAGUCUAACCCAGUACAAACUCCUCCAAGCAUCCCUGGGGAUUUAGUAAGGAAUUAUGUGUGAUUCCUGGUGUCUAGUUCAAAAUAGGUUUUUUUUUUGUUUAAAAUCCACGGUGCUAAACUAGUUUAAAAGGCAAGGUUACAUUUGCAGUGAAGAUGUGCCCAGGACUCCGGUAGUAAGACCAAAGCCAGUGUUCAGCAGGAGCUUGCUCCAGUCUGGUGCCCUCUGCAUAUUUUGGAUUACAACUCCUAUCUGCUGCAGCCAGCAUGACCAAUGGUCAGAGAUCAUGGAAGUUAUAGUGCAAAACACCUGGAGAGUACCAUUACCAGGUUGGGGAAACCUGAUACAUACUAUCAUAGUUUACUUCCUGAAGUACUAGUUAGUGUCCAGGCACAGUGUGUCUAAUGUUGUUGGGGUAGAGAGUGGAAACCAAUAAUGACAGGGCAACAUACUGGGAUCAAACCAACCACAACUUUUAUUGAUUGCAGGUAUCAGUUGGCUUUGGCAUAGGCAUUGAGUGUGAAUCCUGAAUCAUCCAACCUGUACUGGUGACAGAUUAUUCCUUCAGGGUCAAUCCUGGGUUAUGAAUUACCUCAUGAUGUGCACCAAAUUGAACCAAUCUUCCAGGAUGCCAUUCAAAAUGUUCUAUGGCCCAUUAACCCCUGUUUGGGCAUUCAGACAGAAUCCGUCCCCCUGGAUUCCCUUUCUGAGGUACCCAGAUUCCUUGAGAGAGGAAUCGGGGUACAGCACCAAUCUUCCCCCAAUGCUGGGACUAAGCAUCCAGCUCAAUGCCCCUUUUCUACCAGCAAGUUGUGACAAUUGCUGUGAGGAAGGCAAAACUUCAAUUUUGUCUGUAGGUGAAUUCCUCCUUGGCCCAAAAUAUGGUAAAUGAAUAAUUCCACAGCAAGGUCCAAGCAUGAACUGUCCAACAUGCCUACUGCAUGAUUAGUGUCAAAACAUUAGGACGGGACAUCUGAUGAUAUCGUGAGCACAGUCAGUUCAAAUAAAAAGAAGGCUGACCUGAGUGAAGCCCAUCCAGGGUAGACUUCACCCAGGUCUGCCGAAUAAUGACCCACCCCUUAGUUCACCUAUGAUUGGCCAAUUCCUGGGUAUGUCCAGUCAACCAUCAUGGCCAACGGAGGAAACGCUAUCUGUUGGCCAUGUGGGAAGAGUUGUUCUCCGCCUGCUGACUCCCCAUAGACACGCCAGGCCACAACUGCUGCCACUGCCAAAAAUGGUAAGUGGACUUGUUGUGAGUGUGUGUGUGUCUCUGUGUGACCCAAACAAACUUUUAAUGAUGAAUUUACCAGGCUUUGCAAGGCAAUUAAUAUCCUCUGGGAUUGGAACAAUUCAAGUGCUAACCUCACUUAGGAUUGAAUUUACCUGAUAUUUCCUUCAAAUUGCUUCUCGAGCUCUUAAUUUCCAAGGCAUGAAAUUUCCAAGGCUGUUGAUUUCUUGGUAUUUGAGCUCCGCUUGAGAUCUAUUUCUUAUGCUGUUGCUUAGCUAUUAUAUUUGAUUAUUAAAUAAAUAGUUUCUCCAUUUUCAAGUAGUUUUGCUUUUGCAUGCAAGGAAUGCUAAUUUCAUGUUUACCACACAAUCCCAUUGAAGGGGGAGGGAGACAGAAUCACACAGCAAGUGCAACAUCCAGCCAUCAGUGGCUGAAAUUGAAUAUUUAUGGUGGAAAAUGACAAUCCCCCUCUUCCGUAUUUCACAAUGAGGUUGUAGUUCCAUGGUGUAGUCAAAUGUGGAAAGGACCCAUGCCUAUCAUAUCGGAUAUGGUAAAAGAAUCCUAUGAAGGAGGUCUUUAAAAAAUAAGGUAGUUGUAAAAAUAAAUAAGAGAAUACACUCACUUCAUCCCCUCCCUACACUCAGAUGAUUAAACCAUGCCAUUUUACAUUAAAGCUGUUUUUACCAGGAACUUAAAAUUGAACUUAUUUAUUUUCUUUCUCUUUUAAAAAAGACUGCGUAGUCACAAUGGUAACCAGAAAACCACCCCUCUAAAACAUCAAUGUGCCUCUUGUGCCUUCACCUCCAAUUCUGCCUUGUGCAGCCUGGGACUGAAAGGAAAAACAAAGGCAGUUUGCUAUUCUUGUUGCUAGAAACACACAAUGUAUGUAGUAUGGAGAGACUCACCAGAGAGUUAAAUGUCUCUCGUUCCUCCACAAUUCAUCCAAACCUGCCCUUCAAAGGCAGAACUCAGCCUAUGCCAGGUAGCCUGAUUCCAGACCAUGUCUCACUCACUACCAGCCUGUCUUUGAUGUCCCAGUGACUGCCAGCACUUUAGAGUCGCUGUUGGAGUCAUCACUGCAGAACUGAAUAUAGAGCAGUUGGAAGGGUCUCCUGGAACAUUGGUUGCCUUAUUUCUCCUGGGAGACUGGAGAAGAAAACCAGCUCACCCUGGAAAGUCUAGCCAGAGGGAGGAUGAUAGAGGCAGGCAGCUCCUGGCUAGCUUUAUUCAUUAUUUUUACAAAUGAUGUUCAGGACUUGGGGACACCUGCUAGAAGGUGUCCCACUCCUCUUUCUCUACACACUUAUGCUCUGCACACGAGUAACACAUGAACACUUGUUUUUGUCAAAUAUUUAGGCUCUAAUCCAUACCAGAGACCUCUCCAGAUGUUCUUUUUAUUGCAUAUUCAUGAUGAUUUCCCCCCAUAAUGCUAUUGGAGCAGUCAUAUACUGUUCAACAACAUUUCCAAUACUAUUUCUGCCUGCAAAAGAUUUGGGGCGAUUAUACUGAUUUGUUGCCAUGUCAGUGCAUAUCCUGUAAUUUUUGGAGGUGGAUAGGGGUUGUCCCGCCUUUGUGAUGUCCUGCAUAUGUUGUUGGAAUACAACUCCCAGCAUCCCUGACUAUUGGCCAUUCUGUCUGGAGUUGAUGGAAGUUGUAGUUCAACAGCAUUUAGAUGGCAUUAUGUUGUCUACCCCUACAGUAAGGGUAUUUUGCUGUAGUAAGUGUAGCAAAGCUACUGUGGCUUCUAAUAUUUUCCAUUUAUAUGCCCCUAGCAUUUCACACUUUGAUGCUAAAAAAUUAAGCACAGCUGCAAUGUUUUACAGUGCAAAAUGCUAUUUUGUUUUAUAAUGUAAUGCAUCGUAUUAGACAAUACACUUUUCCACACUGAGAUUCAGGUCCUGUGGCACAGAUUAUUCAUUACAAUUUUAACGAAAGCAAAGUUAUAAGGGAAAGACACCCUGAAAGUUGUUAAGCCUUUCAGAAUGGUAUAAUGAAAUGUACUCCUUAUUUCCAUAGUAAGCAGCAGGAUUAUUAAUAAUAAACAACACCUUCCUUUUCAUGAAUAUUUCAUUGUAGAGUUCAAUGAUCUACAGGGGAUAGCAUCUGCUUUUCCAUAAACAAAGAAUUUAAUGACAUGAAUAUCUUUACCUUACUGAUGGGCUGCAUAUGCAAAAGCCACUCCUAAAUAAACUGUCGACAGUAAAUUCUCAUCAAAACUAACUUAUAUAUUGUACAGUGUUACUAAUAUUUAUAGUAUAAGCUUAACACAUUAUGUGCAAGUUCCCAAGGAAGAAGGACUGGAGACUGAGACUGAAACUGAGAUGUUAACUAUGAUAUGUUAUAACUUUGAAGCAUGCUUCUAACUUUAGGUCUUGUUUUAUGUUUUUAUUAUUUGUGAAUAUGUGUGUGUGUGUAUUCUUGAGGAUAGCAGGCCUUGGGGAAUGUGUAUAUAUCAGCUAAAUUCUGCACCUUCUUCAGCGUUUAUGCAUAAUCUUCAGCAGGACUUGAGGAAUGUGUCUCAACCAUAUUUUGUACACCACUUAAAGCUUUCACUACAAUCAAGUGGUAUAAAGAUUUUGUUCAACACAACACAACACAACACAACACAACACAACACAAUAUACCUUGCAGGCAAUAUACACAUUCUCCAACAGGUAUGCACGGUCUCCAAGAAACACACCCUUUUUUCCUUACCCCUUGUUCAGAGUACCUCUUGGGCUGCUUUUUGCCCACUGCCUAAUCUUACUUGGCCCACAACAUCUUCUCCCACCAAUUAGAACAGCAGCAGGAAGGAGUGAUGAGGUUCCAGAUAAAAAUUGACUUUUUUACCUGCAGUCCAAUCCCCUUAUCACCAUUCUGACCUGCUCUCCAGUCAGUUGAGCAGUACAAGAAAUGGCAAUGGGUAGCAUCAGAGGAGUGUUUCCCAUUGUUAUUGACUCCCAUGCUGCUGUUAAGUUUUUUCUUUAGCUUAAUACCAACAGGGAGGGAUUUGCAUUUGAAUCAUGGGAGAGGGAGGUAAGGUUGAAAACUGUCCUCUCCCUGCUCUCUCUUGCACUGCUCAGCUGACCAGGGAGCAGGUGAGAAUUGCUCCCCUUUUGUUUCACCUGAGUGAAUGGGUGCCCCUUCAGAUGGCAAUAGCAGUAUGUCAUUGGGGAAGCAUCAGAGAACAACUAAUAAACUGAGAUAUUGUAUGGGCAGUUCAAUAUAAGCCCUUUUAUUGCACCAGUGAUUUCAGGUGUAAAUACACCUGCAAAAAGUCAGCAGUCCUGUAUCUGGUCACAGACUAAGGAGAUGUUGCAGCAGAGGCUCCAUAAGGUGCUAUGCAGGUUUCCAGUUAAAUCAAGGGCUGCAGGGCAGAACAUACAAUGGUUUGGAAAUAUAAAAUCUACCUGUGCAGCAUCGUGUCAGUCAGUUAAUACUAAACAGAAGACUGAUAAGGCUAAUUCACUUAAAGAUAUGUAAAUUUAAAUUAAAAGAAGUUCAGCUGUUCCAAUAAGGGAGUCACCCUGACAUCGCCAUUUCUGUGAGCAGCAUAAUACACAAGCUGGGAAUUUAUGGACCAUUGCAACAUUAAUAGCCAUUACUUGGAAUUGUUUGAAAAGGCACCCCUAAGAAGUUUGUAAAAGUAGAGUCACUAUUUGCCAUAUGCAAAUCUGCUUAUGCAUGUUGAGGGCUUAAGUAAUGUCUGAUUAUCAGGUUAUCGCUUGUGUUUCUCAUUUAUAUCAAGCAACGCCAAGAUUCCAGUGGAAUGCAAAUUCCACUUUCCACUCCUUGCAUAGUACAUGAGAGAAAACAUGUCAGCUAGAAAAGUCUGUGGUAGUGUUACAGUUAACAGACCCGAGGCAUCUUGCAGUUCAGGCAGGUUUAAAAUGGCAUCAGCAUUUAAUGUGUUCAAAAAGAAAAUAUAGCUAUAAUAAGACCCAUUUUGAAAUGCGUUCCUUUAGCAUUCAAACUUUAAUAGUGAUAUUUAUAUCUAGUAGCACUCACCUGAAUACCAUAUGAGUAACCUUGAUAGCACAUAAAUGAACUGAUUUAUGUUUGAAACUGGAAAAAGUGGGCUACAGCAGACGAACAGUAUUAUCACAUUUGUUCUAAAAAAAUAAUAAUGCAGCCCCACUUUUCAGGCACUGGUGAGGAUGGGAGAAAAGGAGCUUUUAUUCUGAAUGACUAUGAAUGGAUUUUGAAUAUAUAUUCAACACUUUUGUAAAUUUUGCAGCUCAUCAGAUGGAAAUACUGAAACAGUCAAGGAUAAAUUGAGCACAGAAAAAUGUUUUAUAGGUGCUAUUUAGGCAUUUGUAGUUUAAUUUAGGCAUUUGGAGUUGUGGCCUGAGAAAAUCUGUAUUACAGGAUUCCAUAAGACAAGCAGUGGUUCACAUGCUGGAGGUUAUAAAGCGCUGAUGUGUAUUAUUCAAUGAAAUGAAACGGAGUUGACAGCAGAGGUGGCAUAAAACCAAUGAAUGGGUGUGGCUAGGAUCUGAUUCUUAAUACACUUCUGAGACCUGCAUCAAGAGACUUGGCUGACAGAUGUACAGAUUUGCUUUCUAUAGAAGUGCAUUUUUGUCAGGGAUCAACUUGGCUCCAGUAAGGGCAAGAAUUAAAUAAAUGACUUCCAUGAAGGAAAGGGAUUUGCCAAACCUAUAGAAAUAGGGCACCUAGCAAAGUGAAAAUAAAUACAGUGUGACAAUUGGCUUGAUGGCAGUUGCUACUACACUGGGUCACUGAUUUUGUGCCAUCUGUUGUUUUUCAGUGCAACUCAGAAGAUUGGAUUUUCACCUCACUGUGUGUUUGCUGCAUUUUCAAUUCACUGUACAAGCUGCUAGAAUGCCACCAGGCAGUAGUGAUCAGACCUAUCCUUUGUAUCGAUACUGAAAUUUAGGAUUUGUAUGGAUGUAAGUGUCGUGGGCUAAAGAAAAC